GUCAAGAGGACAGUGGGAGUCUUAAAGGUCUUGAAAGUCUCAAGAACUAAUCAAGAAUAAAACCUGAAGUUCUUCACUAGCACACGACUUGAGGUUUAUAACCUAUCGUGUUGACAUAUUCUGUGCCCAUUCCAGUUAAAGUUGGCUUUGCAUAUGAGUUCUUAGAGUUCUCAAUUGGUUGCACAACUACUUGGAAGCAAUGGCAGGCCCUUGAGCUGCCAGAUGGCAAGAAGUUAAGAUUGAGUUCAAUCCAUAUGGUUUUGGAUUUGUCAUUAUCUUUGUCUUGUGAUUAUGGUUUUGACAAAUUCAUAUGGGUAGGAACUCAUACACCAUAUAAAUCUAAGUGUCAUAAGGUUUCUCUCCGAUUCAUGAAAAUGAUGGUGAGGAAACACUUUCACUAAGUAGAUUUUAGCUAGAUAGCAAUUGUGAUAUUUGCAUUCUCAAAGUCGUUAGUGGAGCGUGUGUGGUUUACCGGCACACUAACCUGGACUUGUGAGAAGUGGCAAAAAGGUCUAACCAUUAUGAUUACGGCAUCCCUCUUCAUAAUUGUUUAGACACACAAGUGUGCUAUCUAAGGGAAGGUGUAUGAUUUUGAUAAAGUUUUAUCAAAACAAUCUAGUAUCAGAAAUCUGAACUUUGGUAAGAAAGUCAGCUGAUUUCUGAGUACAUGUCAAAGCUAGUGGGAGCAUAAGUGUUAUGCUAAUAAUCAUCAUGUUAGUGGGAGCAUGAUAAUUAUGAUAAGUAUUGCAAGUUAGCAAUGUUAAUUAUAGAAAACAAAAGUUUCAAUUGGGAAAAAGUUGUUUUGCUAUAAUUAAGGGAGAGGAAAUUAUGCUUCAUCUCAAAUCUAUAAGCUUAGAUCGUGAGGUUUUAAUCAUUUAGUCAAGGAUAUAUAUGAAUUUCAUGUUGGAAUGGCUCAACAUAAGGAAAUUCUGUAUAUGGGUCCAUUAUUUGCGUUCUAAAAUUCGAUUAUGAUUACGGCAUCCCUUUUCAUAAUCUGAAUUAUGAGAACUUGGCAAAUUGAAAUGGAAAUAUUAUAGCAAAAGACUGGUUUAGUCUUUAUGUGAGACAUCAUGAAUCGUGUCCCAUAUGCUUCGGAUAUAGGAUCGAUUACAUGUGCUAUAUUCAUCCUUUCUAAAAUUUUCCAAAUGCCUGGGGCAUUAAGAAGGGAAAAGGUCUAGAAUUGGAUAUGACUAAAAGGAUUAAGCAAUUGUUGAGGAUAAUCUAAGGUUUACCAAAGAUUGGUUGCUCGGGGAUAGUGGGAAGUAUAGUGUUAAUUGUUGGAAUGAUCAUAUUGACAUAUUCUGAAAAAAGGCAAUUGUUGUUCAGAAGUGAUAGUCAAAAGGGGAAUAUGGAAAUGAUCCCAUAGGUGGAAGUUGUUCAAUAAAUCUGUGUAAGAUUAGGAAACUUAAUGCAAGAAGGAUGUUUCCAAGGAAUUAAUCUCCUUUGCAAUGCUUUGUAAUGUUUUUUGUCAAGUCUUUGUGACUUUGUGCAUAAUCAUUACAAGAGGAUCAAUGCAUAUAAGUUUAGAAUCUAACAGAUUUCAGUAAAUCGCAUGAAUUUGGAAUUCUCGCAUUUGCAGUAAGGAAUUGGGAGUGUGAAAUGAGAAUCAUUGAAAUUAUGUUCAAUUGAUCUAUUUCAAAAAGUAAAAAUCAUAGACAAACUUAGUUUGCAUACUUGGUGUAUGGCAUGACUAGUGUUUAGAAAAAAAACAUAGUGUACAUGCUUGGAACAUGGGACAACUAUUCUUUUUAAUUCAAGUAUAAAGUUGAUAGCUGAAACAGUAUGCAAUGAAUAAUAUGUUAUCAUAUGGUGAUAAAUAAAAGGUGUUUUAUUUAUAUUCAUAAGUUCUGAGACCAUAUUGGAUUCAAUUAUUCUUGUGUUUCAUUUUGCAUGUUUUGACUUCCAGAAUAACUAGGUCGUUCUUUCUGAGUUAUUAAGUUAUUCAAACCAUCCAUAGUUGAUAAUACGUUGGAAGUAGGUAUUAAGGCAAGACUGUCAUGAAUUGGGUUUGUAGAUGUCCAAGGUAUGGGACAUAGCUAAGAGGUGCUACAACAUUCAUGAGUCCUCAUAAGUUUUGAGUAUUGGAUUCAACCCACGCUCAUUGGAAUCACUUCAUGGAUUUUAUCAUGAGUGAUCAUGAGACGAUAAUAUCUCAUAUUCUUCAAACCUAGAGAUAUGAGUUGUUACUAUGAGUUGGUUAUACAUUGAUUGCACAAAAACGCAUUGGUAACUCGAUGUUAUAAAGUGUGCCUUUGUGUAUGAUUCAACAAGUAGUAGAACAAGCCAUAUGAGUCAAAGUUUAUCCAUUCCUUUUACCUUAGGGAUAAAAGCGAUAUUUGUGGGCCCCUCAGUGAUUUGGUGAUGAAAAAUGUAAGUGCUCGGCCGGGCCUGGACUGAUUUGAUUUAUUCAAUUAGUCAGUCAUCAUAAAUCGGAAAUCAGGAAACAACAAAUGGACAGAGAGAAUGAUUAUAAUUCAUGUCUCAGUCCAUAUGAUAUCUAGAAUGGAGGAAUAUAUGAUACCUUAUCUAAUGAACAAGUCAUUGACAAAGUUCAGAUAUCAUCGGCAAGGUCAGAGUUCGACAUAAGCUUUUGAGAGCUAAGAUUGCAGUCGGUUCUUGAAGUCAUACUUGCAAUAAUAGUGUUAGACUUAUCCAAGUGGGUGACUGUUAGAUUGAUGUCUAAGUCCAUAACUAUAAUUGGUAAGACUUGACCCGACCCGACAUGGUCCAUUUGGGUUGCAUGGCAUCAUGCAUUUGGAUAUACUAAAAUGAGAGAAAUAACACUUAAGGUUGGUUAAUAUAUUAUAAGUUCUAAUAUAUUAAUAAGAUUAUUUAAUUAGUAUUGAUCAAGAAUUAAUCUAGAAUUAAUUAAAUGAUCAAAAGAAGAAUAAUUAAAUAUAUGGGUUGAUUGUGUAACUCAUCCAUACUUGUAUAGUGGGCUAAUGUUUCAUGGAUUGUCAAGUUGGGCUAAAACCCAUAAGAUGCUCCAUGGUAUAUUUGAACCCAUGAAUCCAAGGAAAUGGAAAGCCAUGGCAAUUAGGGUUCACCCUAAUUGUCACUAACUAUAUAAGCAUCUUAUUGUUCACAAAAUCGGCCACUAUGUGUGUGAGAAAAAGGGCUAGCCGAUUUUCAUGAAGUGUGUAUAUUCUCUCAAGUCUUUCCAAGUUCAUAUGAUGUUGUGUGAACCAUUUGAGGUGUCACACAUGGGGCACUAGGCACUCAAGCUUCAUGAAGACAUUCUACAUCAAAGAGGUAUGUAAUUCUAACUUGAUAUAUUCAUAUGAAUUAAUGUUAUUAUGCUAGUUAGGAUGAAUACCUUUGCAUGUAUAAUAGAGAAAACAUAGAUCCAAGGACUUUAGGGUUGCAUGUACACUUAGUAGUGUUAGAAUGCUCAAAACUCAACAGUGUUGUGGCGGGCAACAUUACAAUCGAUAGCUCGAUUAUAAGGGCUCACUAUAACAUCAAAUAGUGAUAUUCUAGUACAUAACACAUUUAUAAGUAUGAUUAUUUACUUAUACACUUGAUUCUGGGUAAUAAAAUCACAUGAUAUGUUAUAGGAACUUCUAUUUUAUAAAUACUUUUGGAUACAUACUACACACAAAAAUUCUGUUUAUAUGCUGAAGGUGUACGAAUACAACACGUUUUACAAGGUAGAGUUACGAUAUACAUAUGAGGAAAAACAUCAGAUUUUGCUAUAAAUAAAAUUUUAUGAACUCACUAACUGUAUGUUGACAUUUAAAACGACAUGUAAUCUCAAGAAACAAUUAAGCCCAGAUUAGUGGAAUCAAUUUUAAAGUAAGACACCAAAUAUCAUUGCUUGAACUUUGUGAUAUUCGUACGGGAACUACCUUAUUUGAUGACAUAUAAAACUUGUAAUGUAUUUUGAUAUCAAUUAACAUUUGGAUCAUGUAAACUAUCUAAUCAUAUUGUAUGAUGGUUUUUUAUGUAUUUGUGUUUCAAUGUAUUUAGUUAUUGUGAUACUGUGUUCUCGUUCCACCCUUAGCCAUUUCCGCCAUCUGGUUUGGGGUGUGACAGAUUGGUAUCAAAGCAAUUGUCUAUAGCGAACUAAGUAUAUUCUUCCAUGUAAGCAAUACAACUAUAGAUACUGGUACUAAUACCUCUAGCUAAAAAUCAUAUCUUACAAAUUAUACUUUAGAAUAUAAUAAUAAUUAUAUAAAAGUAUACACACGCAAAACAAAGGCAAUGUCACAAUAAAACAAACCAAGAACAUCAAAUUUUGGGGUUGAACACUAUAAAUAAAGCUAGUAUAACGUGUUGUCAAAUCAUGGGAAGAUGUAGCCUGAUCAACUACGCCUGACUAGGGUUUGACCGACAUGUAACUAAGUGUGGGCAUAGUAGACAGCAAUAUAAAACUCAAGUAAUCAACAUAACAAUACUUAAUAACCCCUCAAAGAUCUAUAUUAACAACUUAGUAAUCUACAUAAAAAUACUUGAUAACCCCUGAUCAUCCAUGGAGACCCCUAUGAUCAUGCUAUGGCAACUAAUGGAUGGAUCGAGGAAGAACCAAAGGAGAUUCACAAGGAAGACCCUGAGUAGGAUCCUGAAGAGGAUGCCGAGUAGGAGUUAGAUGGGGAGAUAGACAUCAGGGAGAUCAUUGACGAUCCUUAUCUCAUCAGGGGCAGCGAUGAUCCCCUUCCACCUCCCUCUUUUUAGGAUUUACCUCCACGAUGGGCGACACAGCUACACCCAUGUGCGAGAGAGGACGGUCUACGAUCCACAUUUGGCAUGCAUCCACUGAACUAUGUAUCGGGCGCUAGCACCCCCGCAAACCGAUCAUUACCUAUUAUGGUACCACGAGUGUCCAGCCUGGGCACCCGAGUACAUACCCUCAACAAUGAGGUGAUAGAGAUCGGAGGCGAGGCCUGAAUCACAAUAGUACGAGUUUGACACAUCGAUGAAGAGCAAGACCGCCAUUGGGAGACCAUACUAGCUCUACAGGGUGAGCAGGUGGACACUAUGAACCGUGUACACUCCUUAGAGGAGAGGGUGGACGCCUUGGAGUGAGAAGCCCUAGCAGCCGAGCCUAGGUUGCGGCAGCAGAACAAAGGGCAGAAUAAGCUACUCGUGAGAUGAAGGAGAUGGUUGGACACCUUGUACCCUAUUUUAGUAUUUGAUAGAUAGGUUAUCCUAUUGAGGUCAUCCCAAUUAGACGAAGCUCAAAAGUCUGUAUACAUAGCCAACACCAACACCAACUCCAAUACAGAAACCUAUGGAUGUGGCUGCAAUCAAAGAAAUGACUACACAAAAAGUAGCAACCGCAGUAGCCAACUACCAUACCGAUAGGCAUGAGGGAUUAGGACACGUUUACAACAAUUACCACAACGACAACAGGGGAAAUUCCCGAGUUUGCUUAUACAAAAAAUUUUCCAACUACAAAACCAAGAACUUCUAUGGCGAUGGAGGAGUAAUCGAACUAACAUGCUGGAUUGAAAAAAGACUGAAUUAGUAUUCAAGAUAAGCUCUUGUACAAACGAGUGCAAGGUAAAGUUUGUUGCAAGCACAUUCAUGGAUUCCGCCCUGUCAUGGUGGAAGGGCCAUGUAAAGACUAUGGGCCUCACUACUGCAAAUUCCAUGAGUUGGGAGGCAUUAAAGGUUAUGAUGAUGGAAGAAUACUACCUGGGGAGUGAAAUGCAAGGUCUGGAACAAGAACUUUGGAAUAUCACCAUGAAAGGUUUCGAGAUAGCAACUUAUACCAACCGCUUCAAUGAUCUGGCUGUUUUGUGCUCAGGGAUGGUUACUCCUGAGUACAAGAAGAUAGAGAGGUACAUUUGGGGCUUGGCCCCACAAAUUCAAGGGAUGGUCAUUUCCUCCUAACGAACCAGCUUUGACAACAUGAAGCGCAUUGCUUAUCAACUGACUGACCAGGGCAUCUGUCAAGGACCAUGGUUCAGAAACCCGACCCUCCUAGGGAGAGGAAAAAAAUAGGAAAUCUUUGAAUAAAAAGAAAGAAUGACCCCAACAAGGCCCCCAGAAGAAACAAGGAACGAUGACAUUCUUUGCCGCUACCGCCCCUGCAACCACAAACCAACCAAAGCAAUAUGUCGGUAAUCUUCCGAGGUGAGACAAGUGCAGUUAUCAUCACAUUGGCACAUGAAAGGAGAUGUAUUGCUUCAACUGCAAAAAAAGGGGGCACAUUUCUAAUUUCUGUAAGACCCCGACACAAGGGACCAAUCAAGCAUCCAACUCAGGGGUAACCCGUGCUUGUUACGAAUGUGGGGAAACUGGACAUUACAAUAGGGAUCAUCCAAAGGCCAAGAGUUCAAGUGGAGGAGGCCAAGGCAAAGUCUUGGCCAUGGGAGCAAAGCAAGCAAUGCAGGAUCCUAUCACUGUGAUUGGUACGUUCCUUGUCGAUAACUCUUAUGCCUGCAUACUUUUUGAUAAUGGUACCAAAAGAAGCUUUGUUAGUCAUCAGUUCAAACAAUUACUAAAACAAAACCCCCCAACAAUAUAAAGAAAUCUAUACAGUAGAAAUGGCUAAUGGGAGAACCAAAAACUCCAAAUAAAUUUACCUAAACUGCACCAUAACACUAAACGACCACAUUUUCCGAAUCAACCUCAUGCAUAUGACUAUUGGGAGCUUCGAUGUAAUAGUCGGUAUAGAUUAGUCAUGUGUCACGAGAAAGCCGUCCGACUCAAACUAACCAACAACAAAAGUCUCGUUGUGUACGGUGACAAACCAGGAAAGGGCCUCCAGAUCAUCUCGUGUAUGAAAGAGCAAAAAGUGCAUGCACAAGAAGUAUUAUGCAUUCCUAGCCCACGUAGUAGAAAAUAAGAUAGAAGUGAAGGAGAUCGUGGACAUAAUAGAAGUCCAUGAAUUUUCCGACGUAUUUCCAGAAGACCUCCCAGGGUUACCGCCUGUUUAACAAGUCGAGUUCAAAAUCGAUUUAUUCCUAGAAGCAGCCCCCGUAGCAAAGUCUCCAUACAGAUUAGCCCCGACGGAGAUGCAAGAGUUGUCUAGCCAAUUACACAAAUUAUUAGAUAAAGGGUUUAUCAGACCGAGAUUCUCACCUUGGGAGCACCGGUCCUGUUUGUAAAGAAGAAAGAUGGAUCCUUUAGAAUGUGUAUUGACUACCAGGAACUAAACAAGCUAACCAUCAAAAACCGGUACCCACUCCCCAAGAUUGAUGAUCUGUUCCAAUAGGGAUCCGACUACUUCUCAUAGAUCAAUUUGAGAUCAGGGUACCACCAGCUUAGAGUUAAGGAAUAAUAUAUUCCGAAGACAUCGUUCAGAACUUAAUAUGGCCACUAUGAGUUUGUUGUAAUGCCAUUCGGACUAGCCAACGCUCCAACGGUAUUCAUGGACCUCAUGAACCGCAUAUGAAGACCAUAUCUAGACAAAUGUGUGAUUGUAUUCAUCGAUGAUAUAUUGAUAUACUCACGAAGUGAAGAGGAGCAUAGUUAGCACUUGCGAUCGAUACUGGAGUUGAAGGAGAAAUUGCACGCACAAUUUUAUAAGUGUGAGUUCUUGUAAGAACUGGGAAGCACCAAGGACACCAACGGAGGUACGCCAGUUCUUGGUUCUUGUUGGCUACUAUUAGAGAUUCAUCAAUAACUUCUCCAAAAUAGCUAAAUCCUUCACAACGUUAACCCAAGAAGGGGUGAGUUUUGACAGGAAAGACAAACAAGAGGAUGCCUUUCAGACAUUGAAGCAAGCUUUGUGUAGUGCACCGAUCAUGUCCCUCCCGGAAGGCAUGGAGGACUUCGUUGUGUAUUGUGAAACUUCUAAACAAGGGUUGGGAUGCGUUCUCAUGCAAAUAGAAAAGGUCAUCGCCUAUGCUUAUAGGCAGCUCAAAACCCAUGAGGUCAACUACACCACCUAUGAUCUAGAGCUUGGAGCCGUGGUAUUUACAUUGAAGAUUUGGAGACAUUAUCUGUAUGGUACCAAGUGUAUGAUAUUUACUAAUCAAAAGAGCCUUCAACAUAUCCUCAACUAGAAAGAGCUUAACAUGAGGCAGCGAAGGUGGGUCGAGUUGCUAAACGAUUAUGAAUGAGAUAUUCAUUACCAUGUGGGCAAGGCGAAUGUAGUAGCUGAUGCUUUGAGCUGGAAGGAACACUCAGGGUGUCGAGUAAAAUAGUUAACAAUGACCAUACACUAAAAGACAUGCUUUGUUCCUGUAUGAUAGACUUCGGCAAGGCAUACGACACUCACAUACCCUUAAUUGAAUUAUCCUACAACAAUAGCUACUACUCCAACAUCAAAGUCGUUCUGUUCGAGGCUCUUUACGGAUGCAAGUAUAGGUCACCAUUAUGCUGGGAUGAGGUUGGCGAUAUCCAACUGGCUACGGGUCAAGCGACGACUAACGCACUCACCGACCCAAAAAUUAUACGGGAAGCAACGAAGAAGAUCGUUUAGACAUGGGAAUGACUUAAAGCGUCUCGAGAUCGACAAAAGAGCAAUGCUGAUAGGAGACGCAAACCCUUGGAGUUUCAAGUUAGAGACUGAGUACUAUUAGAAGUCUCGCCAUUGAAAGGGAUGAUAUGAUUUGGCAAACGAGGUAAACUUAAUCCACGUUAUAUAAGACCUUUUGAGAUCCUUGCGAGGAUAAGUCCUGUAUCCUACAAGCUCUAAUUUCCACAAUAACUUAGCAAUAUACAUCCCACCUGUCACGUGUCAAACCUCGAGAAAUAUCUAUCCGACAAAACCCUUGUCAUUCCAUUAGACGAGAUCGAGGUCAACGAAGGUCUGAAUGUCAUCGAAAAACCGGUCAAAAUCAUGGAUAGGGAAGUUAAUAAAAUGAAACAAAGUCACAUUCCAAUAGUAAAGGACCGUUAAACGCUAAGCGAGGACCUAAGUUUACUUGGGAAUACGAGGAUCAAAUGAAACUGAAAUACCCCAAAAGUAUUUCAAAGCCCCUAGGAGCCUGGUACCUAAAACUAAUUUCGGGACGAAAUUCUUUUCAACGAGGGGAUGAUGUGACACCCAUCAAUUUUGGUCAACAGAAGUCAACCAUAAUUAAGGUAAACAUAAUAUAUCCCUCACAACUAUUAAGAUAUAUUAGAAAAUCUUUAAAUGAAAGUACAUUGCCUUUUCAAAUUUCAAACCGUAUAUAAGUCGGUACAUUUAACACAACAUUACAUACGUGACAAAUUGGAUAAAUAGUGAAUGAUUUAUCGGGUUAUAACAAUACAACGUCAUACAAGGUAUAUAGAAAUACAACAUACAAAUGACCUUUAGUGAUUAAGGUUGUAACAAGUAUAAAUAAACUAUACUAACUUCCACAUCAGCAACCACUAAUAAUUAUAUGAAAAACUAUUAUAGCAACCAACUUUUAUAACACUUUCUCCAAGAAUAGAAUUGUUGUAUUUUUAUGAAAGUUAUUAUUUUUAUAAAUACACACACACACACAUAUAUAUAUAUAUAUAUAUANNNNNNNNNNNNNNNNNNNNNNNNNNNNNNNNNNNNNNNNNNNNNNNNNNNNNNNNNNNNNUAUAUAUAUAUAUAUAUCCGUGUGUGUGUAUUCAUAAAUAUAAUAACUUUUAUAAAAAUACACCAAUCCUUUUCUUGGAGAAAGAUACACACACAGACAGACAUAACUAACCAUCCUUAAUUUAAUAUAAAGAAGUCAAGCCCAUUAAAUAAUGCAAAAGUAUUACAAGACCAAAUGAUCAUGUCGUUUACACCUUUAUAAUAAAAGAUCAAUCAAACAUGCCCCUUCCCAUACCCCUAAAAUCAUCCACCCAUUCCCCAUGCAACCUAGGACACUUUUGUUACACUAUAAACACAUUCAACUUCUUCACAACAUAGCAUGAACCAAGUAAACACUCUCAUCUUCAUCUCUUUUUCUCUUGGCCGAAAGUUUCGCCAGCACCCCCAUCACUCUCAAAUUCUUCAUUCGAAGCUUAAUCUGUUGUACACACAACCCUCAUAACUCAAGAUCUUGGAAGGAAAGUUCAAGAACACCAAGAUCCAAGCCAAUGACCACCAUCUUCAAGUUUUGUUUAACCUUUGGACAAUAACAUAACAAAUGAGUGCAUACCCCUUUUUUUCUACUAGUUUUACUCAUUUCACUCUUUUAGGGGAGAUUACAUACCAUGCUAACAAAUUACACUUUGGUCAAUGACUUUACACAAAAGUCCUAGAUCUAAUAUAUGUUAUAUAAAACCUUUAACCUUUAGGUAAUGUUACUUCAUACAUGAUUAUUCCUUAUUUANNNNNNNNNNNNNNNNNNNNNNNNACGGUCAUUUUAAAAAAAUUAUUUAUUCAUAUUCAAAAAUCAGAGUAUUCCUUUUAAAGGAUAAUAUUGCGGAAUUUGUUCCCAGAAAAACAUGAUAAAUAUAUUAUUAAAUCAUUUCCGAAGAAAUAUACUUUGUUUAUAUUAAAACUUGGGAUGUCAUCGGCAAUACAGAAACAUAAGCAUAAACAGACCUUACAUUCAUUUACACUAGUGAUUUACAUCUCCUUUAAUCUCUCAGCGUAAUGUAGCUUCGUAUCGACACCUGUGACACAAAUAAACUGAGUGGGUUAGGUUGGAAAACCUGGUGAGUAAUAUAUAUAUAUAUAUAUUAGAACUCACAAAAUAAACAAUUUCAUCUUAUAUAAGCAAUUCUUAUCCUAACCCGUCGAUCCUUACAACGAUUGUGCCCAUUCUGUACUCUCGGACUAGGGACAAUUGACUAUGUCUCAAUCCAUGCUCCCGGAUUAAUGACAAAUAACUAUGUGCUAUCCAUACUCUCGGACUAAGGACGAAUGACUAAGUCUAAUCCAUGCUCUUGGAUCAAUGACAAGUUUUAAAGUUCUACCCUACGUGUAUAUCUCACUCCUACUCAUAAGGAGAUACUACCCAAUAUUACUCUUAAUUAAUUUAGGUUUACUCUGUAUCCUAAAUCAUCAUAUAUUAUCAUAUAUGCUCUUAACUAGUAUUUCAAGCAAUAUAAAAUAUUUCACACAAAAAUAUAUAUUUAAUACUUUAAUCAAUACUUAUAUUAAAAUCAUGUUCAUGAAAGGGACUAUGCACUCACUUGUUAAAGUGAUGAUCCCCAACUUGGGCAAUGCUUCACUUCUAACGAUUCUAUUUUCCUUCGACGAAACCUAGUAUUAUUACCACUAUAUUUUAGUCUAAAAUUUAUCGCGACUAUUUAUGAGAAACAUUGUUUUAUAAGUGUUAAACAAUACUUUUCAACCACUACGUACAGACAGGGGCCAAACACGAAACACCGGAGGUGAGGACCAGUUUGGCAUUAGAGCACUUCUGAAAUCCAACAACCCUAUACGACAUUUCAAACCAGAUUCCCGUACCGCGAGUAGUUAAAAGAUAUUGUAAUAACACUUUAUAUAUUAUAUUUUAUAAUAUAUAUAUAUUGUUUAUAAGUUCAUAAUAACGAUAAUAAAUUUAAACCUAAGCUAUACUUAUAGUAGGGUAAUCAUAACUCACUUGCUAGGAUAUUUGGAUAGGAACCAGGCUCUGCGGGGGCAGAACUUCCGAGCCGAAAGCUCUUCUUGUCGGAGCCUUCUGGCGCUCUGGGACUCUCCUCUUGCACUUGGAAGUUGCUAGGGAUUAGGAGGGAGAAAUUGGGAGUGUUGAAAGAGAACGAAUGGGUAAGGUGUGAGUUUUAGGGUGAUUUGUGCCUCUAUUUAUAGGUUGAGUCCAAUGCGAAUGUGGGGCGUUCCCUUGCUGAACGCUGGGCGUUCGUGGCUAGGUGUCAUCAUAUGGUGUCAAGUCGUGGUGAGGAAGUAGUGGCUCAGAUCGUGCCAUGUGUCACUUGCUGGUUACUCCAAAAACUAAUUAUCUUCUAAAAUCCGUUACUUUUGCACACGAACUCCAUUUUUGACAUUCUUUAUAUCCAUGUGUAGGUAUCGACGGGAUCUACAAGUUUCAUUUAGACUCCGUCGGCUAAUUUUGUCUUUAUUUUUAAAGUUACAUUUUAACAGACUUAGACAGUUAAAAUCCGUUAAAAAUUCAUUACUUUUUCAUCUGACAUCUGUUUUCGUCGGUCUUUAUAUUGUUGGGCUCCUAUUAAUGAGAUCUUCAAUUCUCAUUCAGGCUGUGUCAGCUAAAAAUCGAUCGAUCUAAAAUCCGCUUUCCGGGUUGGGCACUGCUAUGCUAAAUCUUAGAAAAAUCAUAACCUCCUCAUACGAAGUCAUAUUCAAACGUUUUUUUAUGUACAUUCUCGGUUUAACAUAUACUAUGACUUUUGUUUAGAUCUCUAAGGCUAAAAAUUAUUUUAUUGCAAAAUCACCUUUUACGAUUCCUGGUGUCGUGAUGGUUUUGCCGAAAAACUUCGACAAGUCAUAACUUAUUCGUUAUAACUCGGAUUUCAACGUUUUUUAUAUGUACGAAACCCUUGUGACAUAUAAUAUAAAUUAUUUAAGAUUAUUUAUUCUAAAUAAUCUUCUAUGAAAAUCUCUAAGGCUAAAAAUUAUUUUAUUGCAAAAUCACCUUUUACGAUUCCUGGUGUCGUGAUGGUUUUGCCGAAAAACUUCGACAAGUCAUAACUUAUUCGUUAUAACUCGGAUUUCAACGUUUUUUAUAUGUACGAAACCCUUGUGACAUAUAAUAUAAAUUAUUUAAGAUUAUUUAUUCUAAAUAAUCUUCUAUGAAAAAGUCACUUUUGAGGCUCAUUGUCUCUAAAUUGACUAGUCCGAAUCUGCAGGCGUUACANNNNNNNNNNNNNNNNNNNNNNNNNNNNNNNNNNNNNNNNNNNNNNNNNNNNNNNNNNNNNNNNNNNNNNNNNNNNNNNNNNNNNNNNNNNNNNNNNNNNNNNNNNNNNNNNAGAGAGAGAGAGAGAGAGAGAGUGUGUGUGUAUAUAUAUAUAUAUAUAUAUAUAUAUAUAUAUAUAUUCAGAUUCCAAAUGAAGUACACAAGUUUUAUUCCUUAUAUGCAUUUUAGAUAAGUUUCUAAGUCUAAAUCUAUUGUAUGAUGGAUAAGAAUAUUACACAUUGGAUAACCGCAAAUUGGCAUUUUUAUCAAAAAUAUAGAUUUGAAAGAUUAAAAUUUGGUGAUUACAUAUUGGAUAAAACCAUUAUCUAUUGGAUAAACCAUUAUCCAUUCGAUAAUACUAUUACCCAUUGGGUUACCAACACAACACUUUGAUCAUUAUCCCGGACAUAGAAAAUUUUGAUUACAUUUUCAACUAGAAUAACAUACAUUCGACGGAUUAUGUGAGACAUUUCUUCAACCAAUACAUUAAGUCUCAGCCUUAUAAUUAUUAAAUAUUAAACGAGUUAGAUAGUUGUGUAUAGAUCUAUAUGAGAAUGACAACCCUCACCUACGGUUGGUAGCUACAACCACGACCAACGGGUCAAGGGUGACAAUUGUCUUAACAUUUUCACGAUGUGCGAAGAAGCGUUGUGGCGGGUAUUAUUACAAUCGAUAGCUCGAUUAUUAGGGAUGUUCAGUAUUCGGAUAAAACCGAAUUAUCCAAUUGGACAAUUUGGAUUGGACUAUUUGGUUCAGAUUUUCGGAUUUUUGGAUUGGUUUUCAACAAAACCGAAUUAUUAUUUUGGAUUUCGGAUUGGUUUUGGUUUAUAAAAUAAAAACUGAAUAGUCCAAAAAAACCGAAUAAACAUUUAUUAUUUAUCUAUUUAUAAUAUAUAUCUAUAGUUAUUUAUUAAUUUUGUAAUUUAUUUUUUCAAAUAGGUUCAAAACAUUUCACCCGAUAAAAAAAACGUUAAUAUGCAUUUUCUCUCAAAAGUUUUCUAUCUAUAAAAUAUUUAACUAUAAUAUAUCUUCUUAUUAGUUGUUUAUAAUUUUCAAAUAGCAACUAAAUAAUUUGUUUUUGUCUCUUGUGUAAAGUUGGGUAAUAUUAUACUUAUAUGUCGUUUUAAAAUGUUUCGGUUUUUUAAAACCGAAUUAUAAAACCGAUCCUACCGAAUUAUAAUUGGAUCGGAUUUGAAUUUAGUUUGGACUAUUCGGAUCCAUGUUUUAAAAACCGAAAUCAAUUUGGAUUCACCUGAUUGGAUCGGAUCAAACCGAUCCAUCCAAACGAACAACUCUAUCGAUUAUAAGUCUCACUAUAACAUCAAAUAGUGAAAUUCUAGUACAAAACACAUUUAUAAAUAUGAUUAUUUACUUAUACUCUUGAUUUUGAGUAAUAAAAUCAUAUGACAAGCCACAUUUUUUAUAAGUUUAGAGGUUAUAGAAACUUCUAUUUUAUAAAUACUUUUGGAUACAUAUUACACACAUACAUUCCGCUUAUACGCUGAAGGCGUAAAAAUACAAAACGUUUUACAAAGUAGAGAUACGAUAUGCAUAUGAGGAAAAAUAUCGGAUUUUUCUACAAAUAAACUUUUAAACUCUUAUGAACUCAUUAACUUUAUGUUAACUUUUAUAACGACAUGUAAUAUCAGGAAACAAUUAAACUCGGAUCAGUGGAACCAAAUUUGAAGGUAAGACACCCAAUAUCAUUGCUUGAAUUUUGUGAUAUUCAUACGGGAACUACCGUAUUUGAUGACAUACAAAAUUUGUAAUGUAUUUUGAUAUCAAUUAACAUUUGGAUUAUGUAAUUUGUCUAAUCAUAUGUAUGAUAGCUGUUUAUGUACUUGUGUUUAAAUGCAUUUAAUUAUUGUGAUAUUGUGUUCUCGUUCCACCCUCAGACGUUACCGCCAUCCGGCUUGGAGGUGUGACAAAAAAAAUAAAAAAUAAAAACUAAUUUUUUUUUCAAAAACGAAAAGAAUUAGAAAAACCAAAUAAAUAUUAAAAGUUAAAACUCAGCAUAUACUUAUUUAAAUAUUUUUUUUGAAUUUUUUAGUGAAAAAUAAAAAAAAUAAAAAAGCGAAAAAAACCAAAAUAAAUGAAAAAGAAAACAAAAACUAAUUUAAAUGAUGUUAAAUAGACGUUCGUCGCACAUGAUUAUUCUAUCAAGUCCGAAUUACGUUUCAUUCACGUGCACCGCGUGUGAACAUGUAGCGGCCAAGUAAAUGGGUUUGAUGUUUGUGCCGUUGACGAUCGGUGAAGAAUAGUCUUUANNNNNNNNNNNNNNNNNNNNNNNNNNNNNNNNNNNNNNNNNNNNNNNNNNNNNNNNNNNNNNNNNNNNNNNNNNNNNNNNNNNNNNNNNNNNNNNNNNNNNNNNNNNNNNNNNNNNNNNNNNNNNNNNNNNNNNNNNNNNNNNNNNNNNNNNNNNNNNNNNNNNNNNNNNNNNNNNNNNNNNNNNNNNNNNNNNNNNNNNNNNNNNNNNNNNNNNNNNNNNNNNNNNUACCUACAGAAGUUGCUUUUUAUUUUUUAUUUUUUAUGUUUAUAAAUGAUUCUAACUAAUAAAAUUAUAAUAAUUGUUAUCAUUUUAUACUUUUUUUAAUUAAUUUAUUAAGAUUAUAUUAGGAAUAUAUCAAAAUAAAUUAAAUUGAAUGGUAAUUUGUCAUAAUUUUAGUGGGUAUAAAUAAUUAUAGGCAUAAAAGAUAGGAGGUAAUUUAAUUUCUCCUAUGCUAAAUUCUUUUUAAUUUCUCAAUAUAUUUUUGGUCAAAUAUGUGUGAAUCGCUACAACUGAUUUGUAACGGUCAUAAAGAAGGAUCUGUAAAACCGGUUGUAUUUUUAUAACAAUAAAAAGAAUAUAGUAUAUAACUUCAGUUAGUAUAUAUUUGUAUUAUAUUUUAUUUUAGAUUUUUGAUUCAGUAAUUAUAAAAAAAAAAAUAAGACAUCAAAUACAAAAAAAGUAUUAGGAACUAAAAUUUAUUAAAGCAAACAAUACUUUUCUAUCAUUUUAUCCUGUUUGUUUAUUUAUCCUAGGUUGUUGCCGUGUGCAUCGAGUUGAGUACUUGGGCUUAUUAGCCCUAUUGAUAUUUGUAACGUAAAUCUUGGUCGGGAAGAUCAAUUUCUUCUUGAAGUUAAACAUUGCUUUGUAUUUCGGCCGCAUAUUAAGGCUUUGUUUGGGUUACUUUUUUUUUUUUUUUUUUUUUUUUUUUNNNNNUUUUUAAGGUUUUUUUUGGUUUUUUUUUUUUUUUUUUUUUUUUUUUUUUUUUAAUUUUUUAAUCACAAAAAUGAUUUUUAAGAAAAUUGUUUAUUAGCUUAUGGCUUUUAGUAAAAACGGAUUUUAAAAAGUAUUUGGAUAAAAAAACUGUUUUUUUAGAGUAAAAUGACUAAAAAGCUAAAAAAAUUAGGAUCUUUCAGCUUUUUGAAAACUUAUACUUUUUUCCUAUCCAUAAAACUGUUUUAAAAAAGGUUUUUUUAAAUACACAAACACUUUUUUAGCUUAUUAGCUUUUUAAAAAACUAAAAAGAUAAUAAAUUAUUUUCAAAAGCUAUCCUAAGAAAAUUUUAUAUUAUAAUUUAGAAAAAUCCUAAAAUCAUAUAUAUAUAUUUUUUUUGUUUGAGAGAUAUACAAACAUAUUCCCUAAACUAUUUUUAAAUUGUUUUUUUUUUCUCUUCAAAGAGACUUGAAAUAUCAACAUUUGACUGAGAGACGUAUUUCCACUGAUAAACGAUACCGACGUGCUACAAGUCAUUUGAUAUUUUAGUUUUACUAUAUCUCAUAUUAUUAUUAUUAUUAUUAUUAUUAUUAUUAUUAUUAUUAUCUUUUUUUUAAUCUAGCAUUCUACAACACAAGCAAUUUCGGUACCUAAAUAGCCUUAUUAGGCUGAGGUGAGUGGUGACAGACUAAGCAAGUUCCACCUUAGCCUUCUCCAUUUUGCUGAAGUCCAUGCCAAACAGAGUGGGGGAGUGGAAGAAAAUAGAAGAUAAGAGGUUGUCGAGUGGAGAAGAAGAAAUAGGGAAGAAAGGAGGAAGAAGAAGAGAACUCAACAUACCUUUACAGAGUUUGGCACCAAACUCGACAUGCCGCCUUUGUGGCCCAAUGGUCGCCGAGGACACGUUGGCAAUUGUCGAGCUUCAUCAAGAUCACUCCAUCUAGCCUUAAUUGCAGGGUUACAAUGAUGAGUAUCUUGAAAAGAAAUGACUAAUGAUAAUGGAUUCUCAAAGUGCAUUACUAACAAAAGUCUACUAGGAUAUUUUACAUGUGUGACAAAUGAAUGUGUUUUAACAUCUUGUAAUGAUAUAAAUGGAGAAAUCAAUGGUCAAGGAUAACUACUAACGAAAAUUCUACGAUCAAGAAAGUUACUUAUGUAGUUAUGUGGAUGAUUAAUACACAAUCUAAUCAAUACGACACUAUAAUUUAAAUAUGAACACAAAGUAGAGUUUGAAAAAACAGAGGCUAUAUUACAAAAGAAAAUAAGAAAGUUUUGAAUGAAUUAAAGAGAUAUGGAAGGAUGUAUCAUAUAGAUAGUGAUCUUAUUGUUGGAAAACCUAACAUACAUUUUUCUCUAAAGUUUCUCUAUGUUUGAGUUGGAUUUGACAUAUAGGGUCUCAUUUAAACUUCAGUUAACCUCCAGAAGUUGGUUGGACAAAUUCAGAUUAUUCAAUCAAACGACCACUAUAAUUAUUACACAUAGACUUUUAUGUACCAUAAAGAGUGGAAAACCUUGGAAGAAAUACACUCUAGUUAUAGUUGAUGACUUUACAAGAUUCAGUUGGGUGUACUGUUAGGUUAUCGACAUACAAACAAAGCCAUAAAGGCACAACAUAAGUAAUAAAACAAAUCUCAUAACUCAAAGAGGAUCCAAGUUCAAUCAAUCUUAAGACACUUAAUACAAACAUAUAAAGAUUAGAAUCCAUACCCUUAAAGACUUAGAAACCUUUAUGGUUCUUGAUGAUGAGAGAAUGUAGAGAGUCCAAAAUGGAACUCUAUUUCGUAGUCACACCCAAGAAUAAAUCAACAGCUAUUGACACUUCCAGAUCUUAAAAACACUUUCAAUACAAAACCACAAUCUGACUUCGGCGUACACAUGUCGUGUUUUAAGAAUUGUCGUGCCGAAUCGACGAUGAAACUCAAGUGGAUUGGAGAGAAAUAGGGUUGGACGGUUUGGCAUGCUCUCUAGCACUUAUGCAAGUCAUAUGUACACCCAUAUAUAUAGGGGCGAGGGGCGAGAUUUAGGUUUCCUUAAAACAGUUUCUUGGUCACUAAGAAACUAUCGUUCACUUAAAACCCUUAAGGAUUUACAAGUUUCUAUUAAUUUAUUAAUAACUAAUAAAUCAAAAAACUAAAUCCUUAAGGAUUUACAAGUUUCUUGGUCACUAAUAGUAAUAUUAUUAACUUGUUGUAAGUAUGAGAACUAAUUCCAACAAUCUCCCACUUGCACAAUCCACCAAUAAUAGUAUGGUUUAAUAUUACCUAAUAUAGCAAUGAGUGUACCAUCCAAUGAACAUUUUAAUACUUACAACUUUGAGUUAUGAAACAACCUUUAGAUAAGUGAUCAAGUAUUCCUUUUUUCUUUGAUAUGCAUAUGAUUGUAAGACAUGGAAAGAUGUUAACUAAAACGUUUAAUGUAACAUCUGGAUCCUUGGAGGCACAUUUGUUUAAAGUAUUUGUGUAUUUGUAUAUUUUGGAUUGUGAGCAACACCACGUCGUGGUGGAGCCUCACCACGAUGUGGCAAUAGCUUAUGGGAUGAUAGGAUUUAAUGAACUACCAUGACGUGGAAAUAGGUGCCACGACGUGGUGGCCUAUAUUAGAGAAAACCCUAAAGUUUAAGGGUUUGAGUCUUAUUUAAACAACCUUAAACUCUUGUAGUCUCCCUCCCCUAUAAUCGUCCUUUGCAAACCCUAGACUUCUUGUGUGAGUUUUCUUAGCCUAAAGUGUGUGUUUUGGUGCUUGUGAAGAAAGAAGGUGGUGGUAGAUCAUCUUGGGAGUUCAAAGCUACGUAGAUCCAGAUGUUUGUCUUCCUCAAACAUCUCUAAUAGGUAUGAAGCUUUCAUCUUGUCGAGUAAAUCGAUAGAUCUCUAGAUUUUAUCCACACUUUUCUAUGACUUGUUGUCUUGAGUGGUUUGGUCUCAUAAAGCUUGUGACUUUAUGGAUCUCCAUGCCUUUGGGAGUAUUUGGUGCUUUGGAUCUAGGAUAGAAUUGAGCUUUGAGACCAUGAAUGAAUCUUGGCCCCUUUUGCCCUAUUUUUGACCUAAUAAGAGUUUAAGACAUGUAUGUAUAAAAAUGACUGAUUUUUUUAAUGAGAAUGGUGUUAAAAACACUUCUGGAGUUUUUAGAUAAGUGACCUUAUAGAUUAAGUGCUUAUUGCCUAAGCCAUGUGGUGUUUUGGACCAUAAAGUUGAGAUCUAUGCACCUUGGAGUGUUCUAAGGGAUAAAGUUGGAAACUUUAUCCAUCUAGACCCUAAAAUGGACCAGAUAUGAGCUGGAGAAUCCUUGGAAUCAAAGGAAAACAACUUAAUUCGUUAAGCUGUUGAAAAACUAGUGGCCACGACGUGGCGGCUAGGCUGGUCACGACUAUUUUGUCGUAUCGACACCAUGACGUGGUCAAGGAUGACCACGACGUGGCGGUGAGUCUGUUGACUUUUGAUUUUGACUAAGGUUUGACCAAUUUCCACAAAGGGUAUUUUGGGUAUUUUGAUAUUAAUUUUAAGUUGGGACAUGAUUUGAAUAAUAGGUGUCGAGUAGAGCCGGUAUUCAUAGCAGUCAUUAUUCCGCUUUUGUUCAGACUGAGAGGUGAGUUUUCCUCACUGUACUUGUGGGUUAAAGGCACCAAUGCUGACCCACUAGAUUAUGUAUCCUGGUUCUAGGAUAGUAAUAUGCGAGUAUACGAUUGAUUAGUGGAUUUGCAUGAUAUCUGUAUUUUUUGUUUUUGUGGUUAUGUUUAUCGAUUACAUAUGUCGACGUAUUGUGGUUGGGUUGAAGCGAUCCUGCUUUGUGUUGAAGGCCAAGACACCCGGGGCGGUCUGGAUAGGCUGUAGGCCCUUCCAGGCAGUCCAGUUAGGUCGCAGGCCCAUAGAGCGGUCCAGAUAGGUUGUAGGCCCUGCGAGGAAGUCUAGUAAGGCUGAAGGCUCAUAUUUUCAUGCUUUGAUUGUUAUGUUGUGUGAUGGUACUUUGGGGGAACUCACUAAGCUUUAGCUUGCAGUUUUAGUUUAUGGUUUCAGGUACUUCAGAGGAUCAUGAGAAAGCGAAGGCCUGAUCGUGCACAUCUUUCUAUUUUCAUGAUAUGGAUUUUUGGGACACUCUAAUAUGACUUACUUUUGAGACAAUGGUUCUUUUUGUGUAAACAAUUAUGGAUAAUGGUUGUUUUUGAAAAUUUUAAAUUUUUAUGAUUUUUGGAGUUUUACAAGCUGGUAUCAAAGCCUUGGUUUGAGAAAAUUGGAUGAACAUUCAUGUGAAUCCAGACUCAAACAAAGGAACUGCAAUAGUUUUUAAAAUGGUUUUCAAAAUUGUUUUCAAACGUAACCAAGGAAGGAUGAGAUGUGUGCAAUCAACCGGAGAAAGUAUACCCCAAGUUACCCACACUAUUAUUGAUAUUAUAUUUAUGGUAGAAUAACAUGCUAGUAGUAGACUAAGGAUCUUCAGGAAUUAUAUGAUAGAAUUGCCUGAUAGCCUAGGGUUAUUUCUUGUAUGGAAUUGACAUCAUUACUAUAGUUGCUAAGUGUACGAAUCAUAGCUGUACAUAACUAAGAUUUUAUAGCAUAAGCAUAUCUGGUUUACAUUAUUUCCUAUUGUUGUAUGAUUAAGGGCUUAGGGUAGAAUCAAGUAUUCGACUGUCUAUAGGAUCCAAUGCUAUGUAUGAUUAGCAUACACGAGUGCUACAGGGUUGGUGGAAGUUUCAUGGAUGAGUAGAUGUGUGAGCAGCCAGCCAAAUGAGGAGUGUUUAGCCACUCUCUAGAGAGUGAGUAUAGGACGUAUACAUAUCCUAGUUGUUGUAUCUGUUUAGGGCGAUUAUGAUGAUCCUUGAGGCAAAUACGGGUAGGUGUGGAAGGUAGUAUGGUCCUGUACUAUUGAAAGCACUGAAACCGUACGCGCAGUAAGGAAGUCACAAACCCAAGGGUUAGUCUCGCAUUGUUUCUAUAGCUAUGUUCAUUAUGAAAUUUAUGAUAUAUUUUGGUUUAUUUUUAGUAUGGUGUUUAUGAGAGGAUCUGGUUCCGGGUCUAGAGUGGGUGACCAGGAUAGGCCAAGUUUGAUAGAUAAUCAAAUUCAGGAGAUCAUUGCCACUAAGGUGGCUGUUGUUGUCUGGAGGUCUAUACCGAAGGUGUUUGGGUCAGUCAAGACCGCCAUGAUUGAGUUUUUCGAUGAUCGUUAUGCUGCACUUUCCGAGGCUGUUGUUGUUGUUGCAGCUACCACGACUACUGCUGCCGCGUGGAUUCAAGAGGAUAGUGUUUUCUAGUAUCGGGACUUCGACAAUAUGAAACCCCUAGUGUUUAAUGGAGUUCAGGACCCAAUUGUGGUGAUGAGGUGGUUGUCUGACGUGGAGGGGUGUUUCUUCACCUGCUCUUGCCCUGCUAACCAGAAUGUCAAGUGCACCAUGAACCUUCUCUGGUCAGGGGCGAAAGAUUGGUGGAGAAUGGUGACUGGCUCGUACACUCCUGAGUAGAGGGUUGCGGUGACCUGGGAGUAGUUCUCUGAGAUGUUUUGCACUAGGUAUGUUCCUAUGGUGGAGAGGGAGAGGUUGGCUCACGAGUAUCUGGAUUUGAUACAGGUGACUAAGAUGAUGACUGAGAUCACCAAGAUGUUUAUAGAGAUGACUCUUUUUUUCAUGAGAUUUGCUGCUUCUGAGCAUGCUCAAGAUAGAUAUCCACUAGCUCGUGUCUACCCAGCAAUAUCGUACACUUUUGGAGCUUCAGGAGGCCGCGAGGAGGCGGAAGAUUGAGAUGGAGCUCUAGGUGAGGGAGCGGAGGCAGGCACCGGUGCAGACGCAACCUGCAGCGAAGCGGUUCAAGGAUGCUGAUUCGAGAUCUAGGAUACAAAGGGGUCGCACUUGUGGUAAGUGUUUCAAGACUCAUGAUGGUGUAACACCUCUUUUGAAUCAUUUUAGAAUUCGGGAUAGUAACCCGAAGACCGAUUAUCAUAAGAAUUAGGGCCUUUAGGAAAGAGACUUAGACCCCCUUUGAGUGUGGAUAAUGUAGGUUAGAUGAUCUGGUGGUUCGGUUUGUGUUUUGGAGUCCAAGGGUACAUCGGUAAAGUGUCAGUUCGGGCCUUUUAUGAAUUUUGGAUUUUAGUUCGGAAAGUUUUAUGGGAAGGGGAGCCGAUAGAAGUAUAGAGCAUCUCAUUACCUUUCCGUGGAUAUAAAGAUCUUCGAAAACAGAGUUUGAAUGAAGAAGUUAUGGCUUUAAGCUAAGCCUAGUAUGUGGGGUGUACAUAGGGAGUACGCAGGGCGUACUAGGUAGGGGCGAUUGUGGCACCUCAUGGAGUAUGCCUGGUGUACUGGGAGUAUGUAGAGAGUAAUCCAGCCUCAUGCAAACUCUAAUUUAGGGUCUUGAACCCUAUUUAAUGAUCUAAACUUAACUACAAAGCCCCUUAAAUUCAGCCUCCAUCCUAUUUAAGCCUAGAUUUGAAACCCUAGCUUCCAUUUGAGUAUUUUGAGGCUUGUGGUGUGAUUUUGAUGUGCCUUGGAGAGGAAGGAGUUCUUGUUGGAAGCAUUUCUUGUCUUGGAGCUUGUGGAUCCAAGCUCUAAUCAUCUUCAUCAUCUUCCAAGAGGUAUAAAGUUUCGAACUUGAUGAAUCUGUGUUAGAUCUAGUCUAGGGUAUGUUUUAGGUUUAUUUUGGUCCUUAGAGUCAUCCUUGUGAGUAUGAGCUACUCCAAGAGCUUAGAAUGUUGGAUCUUAGCACUUCUGAGGUAGUGGGUGCAUAAAAAUGUCAUCUUUAUGGGUUUGGUUGAGUCAUGAUUAAGUUGGUGUUCAUAUUAUGGGCUUGGAAGGAUAAAAAUGGGGUUUGGGUCCCAUUGAGGCACACAAGGGAAUAAAGUUGGAAAAUUUAUGGUUUAACACCUUAUCUAGGGAUUAGAUCUAUGUUUGGAUGACUUAACUUAACCCAAUAAGUGCUUAAUAAGGAUUUUUGGGCCUCUGAUGAGUAUGUUGAGCGUACGUGGAGAGUACGCUCAACAUAAUGCUAGUUUAUGCAUCAUCUGCUUGUAUGUGGUGCUUCAGGGGUGAGUACGCGGAGCGUAUGUUUCUAGUACGUAGCGUAUACUCCCCAGAUUAUGGGCUUUCUUAAAAAUAGGUCCAUGAUGGUUUUGGGCCCAAUUGAGAAGAUGGGCCAUAUUAGGCCUUGGGAUGCCAUUUAAUGAAUUGGGCUUUUGAGCAAAUGGGUUGGGCCUUGGUUUUGGGCCAAGUAAGAAAAGGGUAAAAUGGUCUUUUACCCUGGAUAUUGGACAAGUAAUUUAGAUUCUUGAUUACAGGUUGAGAUCCAAUUAUUAAUUUGAUAUUAUUUGAUGAUGUUAGCGCGGGGAUUUCUCGAAUCAGUAGACCAAGAUUUUAUUUGAGAGAUUCAACGGCUUGAGGUGAGUUUUUCUCACUGUACUUACGGGUCGAAGGAACCAAGGACAACCCGUUGGAUUGAUAUCCUGGUUUACCGUAUGUUGUUAUGUUGUAGUGAUCUGUUUGAUCUAUAUCCUGGUAUAUAGGAUGUUGCUAUGUUGUGGUGAUCUGUUAGAUCAGUAUCUUGGUAUAUAGGAUGUUGUUAUGUUGUAGUGGUCUAUUAGAUCUGUAUCCUGGUAUAUAGGAUGUUGCUAUGCUAUAGAGAUCUGUUAGAUCUGUAUCUUGGUAUACUGUAUGUUGCUAUGUGGUAGUAAUCUGUUAGAUUUGUAUGACCACCUGUAUGUGCUAGCUAUUUAUUGUUAUGGAAUACGUUAAUAUGUGAUGGUGUAUCGGGUUGAGGCUGUCCUGAUUUUUGUUGAAGGCCAAGAUACCUGGGAUGGUCCGGAUAGGCUGUAGGCCAUGCGAGGCGGUCCAGUCAGGCCAAAGGCCCAAAGAGCAAUCUGGAUAGGCUGUAGUCCUUACGAUGCGGUCCAGUCAUGCCAAAGUCUCGGAGAGCGGUCCGAAUAGGCUGUAGGGCCUAUGAGGUGGUCCAUUCAUGCCAAAGGCUCGGAGAGCAAUCCGGAUAGGUUGUAGGCCUAAGAGGCGGUCCAGUCAUGCCGAAGGCUUAGCGAGCGGUCCAGAUAGGCUAUAGGGCCUGCGAGACGGUCCAGUCAUGCUGAAGGCUCUAUAUGCAUGUUGUUGUUUGUUAUGUUUAUGUGAUGGUACUUUGGAGGAACUCACUAAGUGUUGGCUUAAAAUUUUAGUUUUGUUUCAUAUACUUUCGAGGAUCGUGGCAAGGUGAAGGCGUGACCAUACACAUCCCAGGUUUUAUGUUGUGGAUCUUGGGAAACUCUAUUUUGAAUAAUGUUUUGAAAACAAUGGUUAUGUAAACACUUAUUUUAAGUAAAUGAGUUGUUUUUAAAAGUUUAAAUUUGUUGUGAUUUCUGGGAUGUUACAAGUUGGUAUUAGAACCUUGGUUUGAGCGAAUUGGAGGAACAUCCGUGUGAAUCUAGUCUCAAACUAAGGAACUACAAGGGUUUUAAAAAAGUUUUUUUUUAAAAAAAAAAAUUAUUUUCAAAAAUAAUCACGAAAGGAUGUGAUGUGUAUGAUCAUCCGGAGCCAGUAAGUAUACCCCAAGUUACCACACUAUUAUCUAAUGUUAUGUUAUGUUAGAACACCAUCAAAGUUGUAAGAUAGGGAUAUUCGUGAAUUGCGUGAUACGUUCCAGAUACAUGAUGCCUUAUUUCCUAUAGAGUUUUCUUGCUUAUUGUUGAAGGACUCUUGCAGGUGUGAAUUAAGUAUUAAAUGGGUACGUUAAGUCACAUGUUUCAUGGGUUAAAUAAUUUUUGAGUGAAGGAUUUGGUCCUAUGGCUGAUGUGUGCAAAAAUAUAUCCAUCUAGUUUUAAAUUCAUAACCCAAAUACUUAUCUACUAAUGCACCUAUAGGCAGUGUACCUAGUCAGUUUAUAGUAUAGUAAAGUAAGUUGGGUAUCGAAUAUAGGGAACGGAUUCAGUAUGAUAAAAUAACUACUAAAAGUUAAUCUAAAAUCAAACAACAAUUAAAAAGGGUUUUUUAUCUGAUUUUUCAAGUUCAUACUAACUUAAGCACUCAACUACUAUCAAUUGUAAUCAAGAUAUUUAAAACACUUUCGUUUAGUUUCGAAUUCAUAUUUUCCUAUGGUUAACUCUUAUUUUUGGAUUAAUAAAGUUGGUUACCAAUUUAUAUGUAAUUAGCAAUCUUGGUCCAUUCUACUAAUAUUUUUACCAACUCAUGUAUUACUUUGUAAUGGGCAUACAUAAGCAAACACAUAAUUAGUUAUUAAUGAUAAUUGGGCUAUGUAAGAUAUAUCUAGAUAAUUAUCUAUGGCCAGAAAAUUAAUCAAAGACAAUUAUGUUCACAAUUAUGUUCUCCAACACAGUUAAAGUUGUUACCUUUAUUACUUUAUCCAAGAUGUGGUAACUUCUAGCUUUAGCAAUUUAAUGGUCAAUAAACUACUAGGUAAACAAGUUCAUGUAAUUUAAUGGUCACUAAACUACACUUAACUUGAAUUUAAGCAACAAAGGUAAAAAAUUUAACAUGCUAGGUAAUUAUAUUCUAAUACAUGCACCAAACCAACUUUAUAAAAUCCAUAAAAUGAUACGUUAACUCAUAGUUUUAAGGUUUCAUCUAGCUAAACGAAAGUCAACUAAAUUAGCUACGCAUUACUAAAAGUAAACAAACAAGUUCAUAACAAAUUGAAAUGAUUAAUUAAUGCGAUCCGAAUGUAAUAAUUUAAUCUUCAAAUUCUUGAUCUUCAAACAAUCUCUCCUUCCAAAGGAUGUUUUUUGCAGGUUUCUGACCUUCAAACUCGAGUAUCUUUACAAAAUAUGUCUUAANCUAAGUCGAAUGAGCAAAGGGAUAUAUAUAGUUUCCAAAAAUUAAGUCUCACAUCAUGAGAAUUAAGUUCUCACGUCGUGAUCUCAAUAGAAUUCGUGUUCGGCAAGGAAACUAUAUUCCGCGUAGCUAUCUUUUUGAAGAAUCAAUCUCACAUCGUGAGAUUAAACUCCUUACAUCAUGAGAACUUGGAAUUAGCAUUUGGCACAAAAACAAAAGUCGUCUGAAAUUUUGUGUAGUUUUUAGAUCAUUUUGAAUCUCGUCAAUCGGAGUUACAAGGCAUGAGAUAUGGUCAAAAUACCGACUAGGGGUCAAGCUGUCCAACAACAUCAUUUUUGUAUCUUUUUCAGCUCCAGUCUUCCAAGUAUCCAACUUUUGUUGGUUUCAAUCUUUUUCUUCCAAAAUGUCCACUUUUGGCUGAAAAAUAUAAUUUAAACAUUAUAAUUUAUAAGUACCAAAUAUCUUUGCGNNNNNNNNNNNNNNNNNNNNNNNNNNNNNNNCACAAACACACACAUACACACACAUAUAUAUAUAUAUAUAUAUAUAUAUAUAUAUAUAUAUAUAUAUAUAUAUGACAAUAUCAAAAUACCCCUCACUUAUCUUUUGUUUGCCCUCAAGCAAAACUAAUAUUUUAAGUUAAACUUUCAUUACCAAUAUCGUGUAAGAUAAUCUAUUUUGAACUCAACCAUUGUACCAAGACCUCAAUAUGCGUAUUUGUGUGUAGGGUUCCUAAUAACUUCUCAAUCCUAACUACUCAUAAUCCGUAUGGACCUUCACCCCUUAUUUUAUACGUCACUCAUUUUUGCAACCCUACGAAUCCAUCAUCAGAAAUCUUUCUUAACCUCAAGGAUGUACGAUGGAGUGGGAUGGCAUAUUGACGUUCAUAGUAUAUAUGUUGCGGAGCCAGAGCCCAGAAUCUCGGACUUGAAAUUUCAUUAGCCUUAUUUUGAUCAACAGAUGUCAUGAUGUCUUUCUAUGAAAUUUCUGGUAGGUCAAGGACAUUAGAUCGGUCAGUGAAGAUGUUGUAAACCACAUACAACUAGUCCUUGCUCAUCGAAUUGGUGUCACAAUGUUUUGCUGAUAAACCUCUCAAAAUUGUAUGUGUCGGUAUUGUCCAGAUGCGAGGAACCGCCGAUAUUUUGAAUUCCUUAGCUUUGAAUUCUCCCUUGUAACCUAUCUAUACAAGAAAAUCUUGGAAAUCUUUAGCAGAGGGUUCAAAAAACUUGAAUCCUACUGGGUUUGGAGAAACCCCAAUUACUUGCAGAAACAUUUCCGUAUGAACAUGAACAAUGCGAUCAUCAAUUAUCUUGCAUUCUAUGAUGCCUUGGUAGAUUAUCAAUCAUUCAAAUGCUUUGAAAAGAAGACGAAGAGGGAAAUUAGGGUUAUAGAUUUUGGUAAGUGGAACAUUGAUGGGAUGGCGAGAGACGAAUUCCAACAUGAUACGAAACAUAUUCAUCUUAUUCUAUAGGUUUGAGUAAAAAGAGUUGUGUGGUAUCUUUCAAGAUUAGUUCAGUAGAGUACGAGGAAGCAAAUUCUUUGGACGAUUUCUUCUUGGUGGAGGUUUUGGAAACUUUGGACACCAUUGUUGAAUGCACGAAGAACAUGGAGAACAAAGUACAUAGAAAACUCUAAGGAAGAAGAUAGAUAAAGAGCAUAAAUAUGGAAUGGUUGGAUUCAAAAUCCUUUUAUUGGGGAGUUAUUUUGGGUCGGGUUGAUGAGUACAAUGAUGAUACCUGACUCCAUAAAUGGGUAGCAUUAAAUGCAUAGGUCUAAAAAACCUUCCUAUGUGAUAUUUAAUCCGAUGAGACAAGACUUGUGUUCUAUUUAAAAAGGAAACCGUCGAUUCAUAUUCAAAAAAUACUCAGUGAUUUAAAGGAAUGCGUGCUAAAGCAUGUUUAUUGGGACUAAAGGAUAAUAACCGUUGGGUAAACAUUUUGACCGUUUCGUAAAACAGAGUUAACGAUAACCUUAAAAUCAAAUUUAUUUUUUAUUAAAGAAAGAUCUCGAAAUAAUGGAAUUACGAGAUGAACUAACAUAAGAUGCUUUUGAGAAUCGAAAUAUUAAACCCUAAUAUUUGAUAUUGAUCCAAGAAGUGGCAUAACUUCAAGAAUGGAUAUCAGAAACAAAAGUUGCAUGAAAUAUCUUAGUCAGACAUUUGAAAGAGAUUUGAGAGAUUCUGAGUGCUAAAGGAUUAAAGCUCGGAAAAGAGAUGAAAUGCAAUCAAAUUACCAGUUCGGAGUUAAGUUCUGAGAUGAAAUUAUUAUAAAGAGAUCGGAAAGUGAAAUUUCAGAUCUCAAGAUUUCUUAAAAAAGAUGUUUCGUAUGCAACUUUGCAAGAUAUUGACCAUCAUCCUGAGAGCUUAAUACUGAAAGAAAGGUUAGACAAAAAGACAUAUAGAGAUCCUUUAUUUUCCGAGAAGAAACAGUUCCAAACUGAAAAAUGUUUAGCUCGGAAUUAUUUGACUUUUUGAUGUUUCCAUCAGAGAGUACAUACUUCUUGGAAAAAUUAAGGAUCAGGCAUCAUCAUUCCCAUUUUUUUUCUUCAGAAAACCAUUAAAUUUAGUUUCGUCUUAUGCCUCAGUAAAGACAUCAGUAAUCUCAUCGUCCGAUGGAACAAAAAUGAGAUCAAUGUUACUGUUUAAAACAUGAUAUUUAAUGAAAUGGUACCAAAUAUUAAUGUGCUUGGUCAUGGAGUGCUGGAUCGAAUUAUGAGAGAUCAUGAUAGCACUUUGAGAAUCACAGUAGAUAGGAAUCCGCUGAAAUCAGAAACCAUAGUCUAGCAACUAAGAUUUUAUCCAGAGAACUUGAGAGGUGCAGCUUGCAGGAACAAUGUAUGUCGCUUCGGCUAUUGAAAGUACUAUGCAGUUUUGAUUCUUGGAUGAUCAACUAACUAAUCUUCCACCCAUAAAUUGACAACCAUCGGAUGUGAUUUUAUGAUCAAGUUUAACUUCACCAUAAUUACAAUCCGAAUAGACGUGAAACAAGAAGCUUUCAUUUACAGGGUACCAAAUUCUGAGGCUCUUUGUUCCUUUAAGAUAUCAGAAUAUUUAUUUCAUGGCCAAAAGAUUAUACAUCUUCGGAUUAGCCUGGAAUCUAGCACAAAGUCAUGUCGAGAACAUGAGAUAUGGGCGAGUUGAGUGAGGUAUAGCAGCGAUCCAACCAUUCCACUAUAAGUUUUCUGAUCAAUGUCUUCACCAUAUGGGUCCGAGACGAUCUUGUGUCCGAAACCCAUUGGAACUUUUGCAAAUGCGCAAGUGUUCAUUGAAUAAUUCUUUAGAAGUUCGGAAAUGUACUUCUCUUGGUGAAUAAAUAUUCCUCAAUUUUUUGUUUGACUUGCAAUCCGAGAAAGAAUUUUAGUUCGUGAUUCAUGCUCAUUUGGAAUCGGCUAACCAUCAGCUUGGCAAAAUCAAUAACCAUCAUCGGAUCGACUAAUCCAAAGAUGAUGUCAUCGACAUAUAUUUGAGUUAACAUGAGAUGGUUUCCAUUUCAUCUUUGGAACAUGGUUGGGUGAAGAACUCCUAUUUGCAAACUAGAUCCCUUCAUAAAACAAGUAAGAGUCUCAUACCAGGCGCAAGGAGCUUGCUUCAGGCCAUACAUAACUUUUUGGAGUUCGUAGCAGUAGUUCAGAAAGGAUAAGUUCACAAAAACAAGAGGUUGUUGAAGAUAAACAUCAUUGUCAAGUUCACCAUUGAGGAAGGCACUUAUGACGUCCAUUUGGUAAACUUAGAAAGACUUUUGAGCAUCAUAUGCGAUAAAGAUUCAGAUGGCUUCAAGAUAGGAAACAUGUGCAAAAAUCUCAUUGUAAUCAAGACCUUCCAUACGUGUGGAUCCUUUAGCCACCAAUCUUGAUUUGUUACGGAUAUUGACUCAUGCUUCGUCGAGCUUGUUUCAGAAAAUCCAACGAGUUCCGAUAAUUGGGUGAUUCCGAGGAGGAGGGAUGUCACGCCCCCAAACCUGAACGGCGGAAACGUUCGGGGGUGGAUGACUUCAUGUGGUAACGUAACAAAUGAAUACAUAGUAAAGAAAGCAAUACAACCAUCAUAUAUAUAAUUGAAAGUUUACAUUUGUCAAAAGUUACAUGUUCAAGACCAAUUACAAUAUGAUGUCAAAAAUACGAGAUUAAACUGGCGCCGCAGCAUCCCUUCAUUAAAAGCGUAAUGAAUACCUGAAAUUACUGAUUUCCUGGGACAUACAAGUAAUUUUGAAAGAGUAGAUCAGCAUUUAAGCUGGUGAGUUUCAUAAGUAUUUAAGUGAAAAUGUUUGUAUGAAAUGAAAUGUUUUGUCUUUGUUUGUUUGUGUUUAGAAAAUCCUAUAUUUUCUACUAGUACAAAAGUAGCCUUCACUCAAGACCAAUGUUUGUUUCCAAAAUGUAUGUAAGUGUAAAAUAACCAAUGAGUUUGAAAACCUUGUAAAUCAAUGCAUUUUUAAUACCCCUUGUGAGUUUUAUAACCAUACUAUUGACUCGGAAUGCCUAUACACAACGUUCUUCAGGCGUUGGAAUGUUAUGACGUUUGUCACCCCAAACGGUGGACUGCAGCUAACAGUCAGGGCGCGGGUUGUCAAGCCCGUAUAGAUCUAUACACAAACACCAUGCUCCCCCUCCAAGGGAUUCUGGUAUAUAAUACAGGACUUGAAAUGUGUACUCGAACGUACAUGAAGUUAGUGUCUCACAAAACCGUGGUAUAAAAACAGAUCUACUUGUUAAAAUGUUACGUUUGUUCUUGUAUACGAAAGUAAACUUCUUGAAAUUCAUGUUUCUAGUACAUAAGAGUUAGAAAUUUGUUCGUAAAACUAUACCUAUUAUAGUUUUCUAAAAGUGUGUCUUGUUUGUUUAGAAAUACCUAGAAAAGGAAUCACUUGUUUAUGAAAGCAUAGAUUUUUGGUGUAGAGUCUAAGAUAGACAAGAAUAAUCUAAGAAAAGUUUAGUUUAUACAUGCAUUACAACAAAUUUAUAUUUCAAAAGAUAGAAUGCCAUUUUAACAUAUGUUAUAUAUAUGAAAGUUCCUUAAAGGUUUAUAAAUCGCAUGUGAUUUGGAUAUAUAACAGCAUAUAAAAGAGUUUCUUUAUGUAACACACGAUAAUACUCGUGUGUUUUACUUGUAAUCCCCCCCUUGAAAGCAUAUAAAAGAAUUUAUAGAAUAUUUAAAAGGUAAAUUAAGGGGUAUGAACUCACUUGAAAGUUUGAAGAUAGCGAGAUGGAAAACCGGGCAGAGUUUCGUCUCGGGAAACGGAUUUUCCUCGGGAUUCUCGGGAAUCUCGGGAGUAAAAUCGACCCUCGGGACUUGAGCAAAAAGACCAGAGCUUCGGGUUUGAACGGGCACGGAAAACGAGGCAAGAUUGUGAGAGAGAGGAGAGAAAUGAGCCCUUUUCUCGGAAGCCCUCGCAUCCUAUUUAUAGGAAGGCUGAACUGCCUCGGUACGCGGGGCGUACGCUCGUACGCAGCGCGUACGCGUACGUCAUGCAUGACCGAAGCCUCGACUGCCUCGGCUUCGGAUGGGACGGGUCGGUGGGGAGGCGGGUCGGAUGGGACGGCGGGUUGGAUGGGACAGCGGGUCGGACGGGUCGGUCGGACGGGCGGGUCGGACGGGUCGGAAGCCUCGGAUAGGGCGACGUGGACGAUCAGAGGCCAAGUCUCUCGGGUACGCAGCGCGUACCUCGGAUGAGGACGCUGACUCCUCUUCGGAUAAGGCUUGAAUUUUGAUUUAAAUAAAUAUAUAAUUUAUUUAAUAAACUUCAAAAAUUCAUAUCUUCUUCAUACGAACUCCGUUUUCGAUGGUCUUUAUAUCCACGCGUAGGUGAGACUACGCUCUACAACUUUCGUUUAGACUCCGUCGGCAAAUUCCGAAAUUAUUUUUUUUAUUAUUUAUAUUAUAACUCAUCGUGUUUAAGGAAUUUCUUUGAAAAUUCAUAACUUCUUUAUCUGAUGUCGGUUUUUGCCAGACUUUUUACCGCUGAAAUACCAUUGUCGAGACCUUCGAUUCUCGUUUAGGUCAUUCCGGCCAAAAGUCGCUCGAUCUCCGAUUCGAGUUUUUAGCUGUCUGUUGCUAAGCUGAACUUGGAAAAAUCAUAACUUCGAUAUAUGAAGUCGGAUUUGGGCGUUCUUUUUACGUACGAUCAUGGUUUAAAGACAUUUAAACAUAGAAGGAAUUUAAAUAGAACUAUUUGUACAUUUUAUUAUGAAAGUAAAUUUUAUUACUCAAAAGUGGUUACAAUACUUGACCCAUUUAGGUCAUUAAAAAGAGUUGAAGUAUCGGGUUGUCACAAGGGACAAGAGUCCACACUUGAUUUCUAUCGAACUAUGAUAAUUCUUCUUGCAUGACUACAAUCCAAUUGAAAUGUUCUAGAGCUUCUUCAAUGUAUGUAGGUUCAACCAUUAAAAUGAAUGUCGAGAAAUGACACUCAUUUUGAAUAUUAGCAGCGGAGUGAGUUUGAACUCCAGCUGGAUGGUUUGAAUUUGAGGAUGAUGCUCCUCCUAAACUUUUGAACUUGAUAUAUCUAAAUCACCAUCAUCCAGAAAGUCAAAGAAUUUUUCACCAUCUUCAUUUUUUCGGAAUUGGAUCAAUUUCGGCAAAUUGAUCCAAUGCAUCUUGAGAACCAUCAACAUUUUGAUUCGAGGGUUGGAUUUCUUUCUUGCCCUUGAGGCACAAAAGCAGAGGUAUUAUCCUCCUCAACCCGAUUUGGGAAUACUUUGGAAUCAAAUGGUGGAAAAGUUAGGGUCUGAUACCAACUUGUAACAACCCAAAAUUUUUUGUUUUAAUGUUACUAAAAAUCACGUCAUCCAAUGUCAUAUAUAACAAAAACCAUGGAAUGAGUACUCAAAAGUCAUAGUAACUGUGUCAAAACAAAUUUGUAUCAAUCAUAACACAAUGUCUGAAUAAAACUCCCAGGAUAAAACUGAAGCUGUGGUGGGUGCGAUGCCAUCAACCCGAGAUCUUCUAUUUGAUAGCGGAAGUACCUGAAACCAAAACUGAAACUGUAAGCACGAAGCUUAGUGAGCUCCCCCAAACUACCACAUACCACACAAUAACAUAUAAACAACUAUUGGGCCUUGCCCACUGCAUCGGACCGAGGUCCAGAAACUGCAUCGGACCGAAGUCCGGAACUAACCAGGGCGUUGCCCUCUGCAUCGGACCGAAGUCCGGAACUGACUGGGACCGUGUCCCCUGCAUUAGACUGAAAUCCAGAACUAAUUGCAUCAGACCAAAAUCCGGAACUGACCGGGACCGUGUCCCCUUUAUCGGACCGAAGUCUGGAAACUGACUGAGCAUAACGUAGCAUAACAUAAACAUAUCAACUAGCAUAAGCACAUAUACUACAUACUGCAUCGGACCGAAGUCCGGAACACAAAACACAAAGACACACAUGAAUCACAAAUACAUCAAGCACACUGAACUACUACAUCGGACAAAAGUCUGGAACUACUGCUAACUAGACGGGCCGGCAUUGUGGCCGUAGACCCGUUCCUACUGGAAGGAUAACUCACCUCGUAACGUUGGCUGCCGAGAUGCUAAAUCUGAAACCGCCGGACCGCUGUUCCGAAACUCCCUGGCUACAAAUCCCAUAAACACUAAAUCCAAUACUGAUAACUAAUCUCAGGGUAGAAUGUCUAUUUACCCCUAGGCAAGUCAAAGUCAACUUUCUGGUCAAAGUCAACUUCCUGUUGAUUGGACUCGUCGAGUCCCUCUCAUCUAUUCUAGUCCUCUACCCGGUUCUACUCGUCGAGUUUGGCAAAGACUCGACGAGUUCUUCCUCGAUGCUAACAUCGAGUCUAACUUCAUCCGACUCGCCGAGUUGUAUGAACAACUCGUUGAGUUCUCCUUCAACAUAUGAACACGUCCAGUCUGUGACUCGCUGAGUCGUAUGAACAACUCGUCGAGUCUGAUGAAUAACUCACCGAGUCCCAAGCAUGCUAUUACUAUAUAGUCGAUUCUAAUCGAUUUCAGUGCUUCCAAAACAUAGAUCUGAGCGUCUAGGACUGGUUUUACACGUAAAAUGUCCAACUUUACGUGCAUGCACAAGGGUAUGAGGCUAAAAUACCCAAACUCAUCAAAUACUAAGCACUUAGGGUUUGGAACAAGGCCAAGAUUGCAUAAAGGUGGCUAUAAUGAGCUCCUGGAGUUCAAGAGAGGCUAGAUCUGAAGUAUAACUUGAUCAUAAGGCUUUAUUACAAAGGAUUUGGGGUUUUGAGCUUAAUAUCAACAACUUAGGGACAAACUAGAUCUAUUAGAUCAAUAAGCAAGAUGGAGACGUUAUUACCAGAAAAGAUGUCCACAAAGGAGUGUGUUCCGGAUCUACUUCUUCUUCCUUGAACUCUUCAACCUUUUCCUUCUUCUACUUGCUCCAAAAUGCACCAAAAGUUCCUUCACAAGGCAACAAUCACUCACACACUCUCUAAGGAGGCUAGGGUUUGAUAAGAAAUGUUCUGAGGGUGAUGGAGGCGAGGUUGGGGCGCAUAAAUGUGUUUAAAUAGGGUGCAGACCCUUAAAAUUAGGGCUUCAUCCAGAUAGGCGGACUUGCUAAGUCCCAACAUAUGGAAUCGUUGAGUAGCCAACUCCAUUUGCGUGAUCAUCCCUUCUCUACUCGACGAGUCGGGCUAUAGACUCGUCGAGUACCCCUUAAGAAUUGAAAAUACUUAUUUAAAUUACAUACCAGAAAAUGGGGCGCUACAACUCUCCCCCACUUAUCUUAGACUUCGUCCUCGAAGUCCGCUGCUACUAAAUCUUAAAAUAACUCUGGAUAAUGCUCCUUCAUCUCCCCCUCGGACUCCCAUGUCCACACUAAACCCUUUCGGUGCUGCCACUGCACCUUCGCUAACUGAACCGCCUUGUUCCUCAAGGUCUUCGCCUUCCGAUCUAAGAUCACAACUGGCCUCUCGAUAUAAUUCAGGCUGCUAUCAACCUGAAUAUCAUCCAAGGGUACAACUGCUGACUCGUCCACCGAACACUUCCUCAAUUAGGAAACAUGGAAACUGUUGUGGAUCGGGCUAAGCUCUACCGGAAGAUCCAACUAAUAAGCUACCCGAGCCACCCGGGCCAAAACCCUAAAAGGACCAAUGAACCUGGGGCCCAACUUGCCCCUCUUCCGGAACCUGAUAACACCCUUACAGGGUGACACCUUCAAGAGGACCAUAUCGCCCACUUGAAACUCCUAGUCCGAACGCCUCAUGCGGCAUAACUCUUCUGUGAACUCUGUGCAGUCUGCAAUCUACUACAGACCUGCUGGAUCAACUCUGUGGUCUUGAGCACCACCUCGAUGCUCCCGAUGACUCGCUGAACAACCUCGCCCCAACAAAUUAGGGUCCUACACUUCCUCCCGUAGAGAAUCUCUAAAGAAGGGCGGUCAAUACUAGCGUGGUAACUAUUGUUAUACGAAAAUUCCGCCAAAGGAAGAUACGUAUCAAAAUCUAGGACACAUGCCCGAAGCAUGUCCUCGAGAGUCUGAAUUUCCCUCUCGCUCCGCCCGUCCGACUGGGGGUGGAAGGUGGUGCUAAAAUAAAGACGAGUCCCCAUCUCUUCAUGAAACCGCUUUCAAAACCUGGAAGUAAAACGGACAUCUCGGUCUGAUACUACCGAUACAGGCACUCCAUGCCGUGCCACUAACUCAUGCACAUAAAUAUCGGCUAGCUUCUCGGCCGAUAUGCUCUCCUGAAUUGGUAUGAAAUGCGCGCUCUUGGUCAGCCGAUCCACUAUGACCCAAAUCGAGUCAACUCCACGUGCGGUCCUGGGAAGUUUAGUGAUGAAAUCCAUAGUGAUAUCCUCCCAUUUCCACACCGGAUUGUCUAACGGCUGCAUCUUGCUGUAGGGGAUCUGGUGUUCUGCCUUGACCUUCCUGCAGGUCAAACAUUUCUCUACGUACCAGGCUAUGUCCUACUUCAUGCAGGGCCACCAAUAAUCGGGUCGAAGAUCUCUAUACAUCUUCGUCACCCCUGGAUGGAUGGAGAACCGACACUUGUGGGCCUCAUCCAUCAACAUCUGCCAUACUCCUCCCCAAUACGGCACCCAAACUCUCCCAUGAAGGGUCAACAAUCCUCAACUGUCGGAAUUGAAAGAAGCUACUCGGCCCACGAUCCUCUCACACUUCUGCCUCUCCUCCUUCAGGCCCUCGACCUGUGCCUCUCUAAUUUGCUCCAACAAUGGAGUAAUCACCGUCAUCCUCAGACAUAUAUCUCUGAUCAGUGCCACCACGUUGGCCUUGCCCGGAUGAUAAAGGAUCUCACAAUCGUAGUCCUUCACCACAUCUAACCAUCGACGCUGCCUCAUGUUCAAAUUCGGCUGGUCCAUGAGGUACCUCAGACUCUUGUGAUCCGUGUAAAUGGUAUAGUGGACCCCGUAGAGGUAAUGUCUCCAAAUCUUGAGGGCAAACACCACUGCCCCCAGCUCUAAAUCGUGCGUCUGAUAGUUAGCCUCGUGGGGCUUCAGUUGUCUAGAGGCAUAAGUUAUCACAUGCCCUCGCUGCAUCAACACUGUUCCCAUCCCUGUGAUCGAAGCAUCAUAAUAGACUACAAAAUCAUCCACUCCUUCUGGCAGGGUAAGAAUCAGUGCCUCACACAAUCGUUGUCUGAGGGUCUUAAAUGCCGUCUGCUGCUAGUCAGUCGGGUAAGUGGAACUGCUAUCUUGGAGAAAUCCUGGAUGAAUCUCCAGUAGUACCCUGCCAACCCUAGGAAGCUCCGAAUCUCAGAUGGAGACCUCAGGACCUCCUACUGCAUCACGGCCUCUAUCUUCGCCGAAUCCACCAAUAUCCCCUUUUGGUUGACGAGGUGUCCAAGGAACUGUACCUUGCAUAACCAGAACUCGCACUUGGAGAACUUCGCGAAAAGUCUCUAGAACUUCCCUCAGGUGCUCCUCAUGCUGCUCCUUAGUCUUGGAAUAAACCAAGAUAUCAUCAAUGAACACCAUCACAGACCAAUCCAACAUCGGUCUGUAUACGCGGUUCAUGAGAUCCAUGAACACGGCUGGAGCAUUGGUGAGCCCAAACGGCAUCACCACAAACUCAUAAUGACCAUAACGGGUCCUAAAAGCUGUCUUCUGAACAUCCUCACCUCUGACCCGCAUCUAAUGAUAACCGGAGUGCAGAUCAAUCUUGGAAAGCCAAGAUGCUCCCUGAAGCUGACCGAACAAAUCAUCUAUCCUCGGGAGUGGGUAACGGUCGUCACCUUGUUCAACUCCCGGUAAUCUAUAUUCUUACGGUGCAACCCAUCCUUCUCUUUCACAAACAGGAUCGGGGCUCCCCAUGGUGAACUACUCAGUCUGAUGAAACCCUUGUCUAUCAGCUCCUGCAGCUACGUAGACAACUCCUGCAUCUCUAGAGGAGCCAACCGAUACGACGCCUUGGCUAUCGGAGCCGCACCAGGAACCAGGUCAAUCCGAAACUCAACCUGUCUCUCCGGAGGUAUCCCAAGCAAAUCCUCCGGGAAUACGUUCGGGUAGUCUUGCACUACCGGUACAUCAUCGACUGUCACCUUGCCCUUCUCCCGAGCAUCCAAAACAUAGGCGACGAACCCUGCUGAAAGUAGCGCCUCGCUCUCGCUGCUGAGCAAAGAAUCGGUCCGCAUUGUGGCCUCUCGCCCUGAAUCACUAACUCUCCCCCACUGGGGGUGCGGACCCUCACUAGCUGUAGCUCACAAUCAAUCACUGCCUUAUUGGGGCUCAGCCAAUCCAUACCCACUAUGACCUUAUUCCCACACAGGGGAAUAGGAACCAAAUCCACUGAAAACUGCUCAUCAAAUAACUGCAGCGAACAUGCCCUAUGUACUCUCGCGACUCUGACGGUCUUGUCAUCAGCUAUCUCAACCUCAAGUGGAGAAUCCAGCUCCCUCGGAGCUCUGUUGAACCUCUUGCUAAGCGUAAGUGAAACAAAUGAUCGGGUAGCCCCCGAAUCAAACAAUAUUGUGGCUUAUACGCCGUUCACUAAGAACGACCCUAUAUAAAAACAUAUAACCAUUAGAAAAAAUCAACAUUAAUAAAGAGAUGAAGGGAAGAUACAUACCCGUCACCACAUCAGGAGUCGCUCACGCCUCCCCUGUAGUCAUCUGAAAAGCUCUACUCUUCGCCACUAGCGCUUCACUUCGGCCCUGACGGCCGUCUGUGAUCCUCAAUGUUGUAGGGGCAGGUGCUGCCACCUUCCCUGCUGCUGCUGCUGCUGGCAAACUCGGACACUGGGACUUUUUAUGUCCCCUCUGAUUGCAAUGGAAGCAAAUCAGAUCAGAUACCGCGGUAACGGUGGGAGUAGCUGUACAAUCUCUGCUCAUAUGCCCGGUCUGGCCGCACUUGUAGCAACCGGGACUUCCUGCCUUGCACGCCACAUCGUGCAAUCUCCCACACUUGCCACACCAACCAUGGCUCUGCUGACCUCUAGAUCUUUGAUCUGAUACCUUCGACUUUUUGCCAGAACUCCCUGUGCCAGAUACCGCCUCUGGCUUCCUCUUCUUCUCCAUCUCUAGAUCAAUCUCCCUCUCACGAGCCCUAGCAAUCAUGUCAUCCAGUGUUUCAUAGCUGGAUCGGCUCACAAACUGGCGGAUAUCACUCCGCAAUAUCUCAUGGUAACGAACUUUCUUCAUUUCCUCGUCAGCUGCAUACUGAGGAACAAGAAGAGCUCUCUCCAUGAACUUGGCAGUAAUCUCCGCCACUGUCUCUGUAGUCUGGGUAAGAUCCUAAAACUCCCUGGCUAACUGUUACACCUCAAUAACCGGUGAAAACUCGGCUCUGAACCUGGUAGUAAAAUCAGCCCAAGUCAUCGCAUAAAGUUUUGUGUCAUCCCCGAUGACAUGCCCGGUCUGCUCCCACUAAUCUCGUUCCUUGUCCUUCAGAAGACAGGAUGCUAGUCUGACCUUGUCCCCCUCAGGACAUCUGCUGGUGCGGAAAGCAUUGGUGACAUGCACCAACCACCUGGUACUCGCUAUGGGGUCCUGAGCCCCAUGAUAGUCAGGAGCUCCACAGGCUCUGAACUCCCUGAAGGUGAGCGUGCGCGACCCCAUCAUGGUCGCCACUUCAGUACGAAAGGUGCUCAACCUCUCAUCCAUCAGCUCCAAAAUACCCUCCUUGAUCGAACCAAAGAUCAUAGGAGUCUGCUUGAGUAUGAUGCGAGUAAUCUCUAAAGAGAGAAACUCCCUUGUCUGAUCAUCCAAAUGCUCGGCUCCCGAGCCUGGUCCUGAUCCCUCACCGGCACCUGAACUGCCGACUGCUGGUCUAGGGCAUAAAACCACCAUUCUGAAACACAUAACAACAACAUCAGAAAUACUGAUAUAUCUCAAGGGAUCACUAUUACUACAAGUUUCUUGGUCUCGUCUUGGCCUCCCUUGAUUCAAGUACAGAUCCUCUGCUUUCAGUAGCAUGGGCCCCUACUACCUUCCACAUCUAUCUGUACCGUCCACAGUAGCUGCCUUGACCCCACCAAGUCCCUUCUACUAUUACUGCUGAUCUCAUGAUAAUCUCAUCCUAUGCUAGCCCUAGGGUGAUCACCAACCCACUCUCCGCCAUCAGCUGCAUAAGAAGUCCCCACUUUCUUUCCCUAACUAGCUCCCGAAUACUAUUACAUAUUACUCAGACUAGAUAAUUCUUCGAGUGAGGGAUCCUACCCUAUAACGGUUGGACUCAAACAAGAGCUGCGAAAUAGAGCUAGACCUAACCUUCUAAAAUUAUUUAGUCCUUGCAAUAUGUAACUUAACAUAUUCGUUUACUAGUUAGUGAAAGAAAACUAGAACUCCUAAAAGCACAAAGCAAGCAGCAUUCGGGCAUUGAGUACAUAAUCAUGCAUACACCAUUCUGGCUAUCAUUCUGAAUAAUCUGCACUAGCAUACAAUGCUAAGCUCAGACUAUCAGGCAUAACCUAACCAGGGCAUCCUACUGCUGUCUAUUCAAUACUAGCAUGCAAGUCUCAUAAAGCUGAAACACAUAUAGCAGGCACAUAAGGCAUCCUCCUAGAUCCUUAGUCCUAUUCUAGCAUGCCGUUCUAAUGAAACUGAAACUGGUAAUCAUAACAUAAGCUUGUAUGGGUAAUUUGUGAGUACUUACUUGAGCUCAGCUGAUCGCAUGCACCGCACCCCUUUUUAAGAGAGCUCUUUUUCUUUCUAAUUUCUUUUCAAAAUUUAUUUUCGAAAACGUUUCUCUUUUAAAAAUCUUUCACCAUUUCCUUAGUUUGAGUUCAGACGCACUCAGAAGUAUGGCUGAAUCCCACAAACCAAGGCUCUGAUACCAACUUGUAACAGCCCAAAAUACGACCCAAAAUUUUAUGUUUUAAUGUUACUAAAAAUCACGUCAUCCAAUGUCAUAUAUAACAAGAACCAUGGAAUGAGUACUCAAAAGUUAUAGUAACCGUGUCAAAGACAUGCUUGAAUCACAAAGACAUCAAGCACACUGAACUACUGCAUCGGACCAAAGUCCGGAACUACUGCUAACUAGACGGGCUGGCAUUGUGGUCGUAGACCCGUUCCUACUGGAAGGAAAACUCACCUCGUAACGCUGGCUGCCGAGAUGCUAAAUCUGAAACUGCCUGACCGCUGUUCCGGAACUCCCCGACUACAAAUGCCAUAAACACUAAAUCCAAUACUGAUAACUAAACUCAGGGUAGAAUGACUAUUUACCCCUAGGCAAGUCAAAGUCAACUUUCUAGUCAAAGUCAACUUCCUGGUCAAAGUCAACUUCCUGGUCGAAGUUAACUUCCUGUUGACCGGACUUGCCAAGUUGGGACGUCAACUCGCCGAGUCCAUAUCAUCCAUUCUAGUCCUGUACCCGCUUCUACUCGUCGAGUUUGGCAAAGACUCGAUGAGUUCUUCCUCGAUGCUAACAUCGAGUCUAACUUCAUCCGACUCGCCGAGUUGUAUGAACAACUCGUUGAGUUAUCCUUCAACAUAUGAACACGUCCAUUCUGUGACUCGCCGGGUCGUAAAAACAACUCGUCGAGUCUGAUGAACAACUCGUCGAGUUAAAGAACAAGUCGUCAAGUCCCAAGCAUGCUAUUAUUAUACAGUCGAUUCUAAUCGAUUUCUGUGCUUCCAAAACAUAGAUCUGAGCUUCUAGGACUAGUUUUACACGUAAAGUUUCCAACUUUACGUGCAUGCAGAAGGGUAUGAGGCUAAAUUACCCAAACUCAUCAAAUACUAAGCACUUAGGGUUUGGAACAAGGCCAAUAUUGCAUAAAGGUGGCUAUAGUGAGCUCCUGGAGUUUAAGAGAUGCAAGAUCGAAAGUAUAACUCGAUCAUAAGGCUUUAUUACAAAGGAUUUGGGGUUUUGAGCUUAAUAUCAACAAUUUGGGGACAAACUAGAAAAAGUAUAACUCGAUCAUAAGGCUUUAUUACAAAGGAUUUGGGGUUUUGAGCUUAAUAUCAACAAUUUGGGGACAAACUAGAACUAUUAGAUCAAUAAGCAAGAUGGAGACGUUAUUACCAGAAAAGAUGUCCACAAAGGAGUGUGUUCUGGAUCUACUUCUUCUUCCUUGAACUCUUCAACCUUUUCCUUCUUCUACUUGCUCCAAAAUGCACCAAAAGUUCCUUCACAAGGCAACAAUCACUCACACACUCUCUAAGGAGGCUAGGGUUUGAUAAGAAAUGUUCUGAGGGUGAUGGAGGCGAGGUUGGGGCGCAUAAAUGUGUUCAAAUAGGGUGCAGACCCUUAAAAUUAGGGCUUCAUCCAGACAGGCGGACUCGCUAAGUCCUAUCAUAUGGACUCGUCGAGUAGCCAACUCCAUUUGCUUGAUCAUCCCGUCUCUACUCGACGAGUCGGGCUACAGACUCGUCGAGUACCCCUUAAGAAUUGAAAAUACGUAUUUAAAUUACAUACCAGAAAAUGGGGUGCUACAGAUAUGUUUUGAGAAAUAGGAGGAUUUGGCAUAGAUGACUGUCCUGAUCAAGAUUAUUAGUCAAGAGUUGUUUCUAUUGGUCCGAACAAACUUUCAAAAUCGACUUCGUAGAUAACUUGAUGAUUUGGAGACCCGGGAGGUGGAGAAUUGGACUACAGGAUGUGCAUUGUAACAUGAGUUGGUUACGAGUUCUGAAGAAAGUUAACAUCAAAGCUGAUGUCAAAGCUUUCUUCAAUUACAUGAGUUCGAAGAUUAAGAACUUGAUAAGCUUUUGAUUUGGUAGAGUAUCGCAAAAAGAUGGCUUCAUUGGAUUUCGGUUGAAACUUGGUGAGUUGAUCUUAUUUGCUUUUGAUGAAACAUCUGCAUUUAAAGAUGGUUCAUGCUUAGUCGACGGUUGAUGACGCUCCAAUUUUGAGUAAAACUGGUUGUAGAGACUGCUUCAGCCCAAAAAUAAAGAGGAUGAUUUGCAAAGUUCAACAUCGAUCGAGUGGCUUCAACUAGAGUUCACUUUCUUCUUUCAAUGACACCAUUUUUAUGUGGAGUGUAAGGCUCAUAAAAUUUGUGUUCAAUGACUUUGUCAGUUAGAAACUUUUUAAUUGUGGCGUUGGUGAACUCGGAUCCAUUGUCACUUUGAAUUCUUCGAAGGGGUACUUUUUUCAGAAUUUCAAUUUCUUUGAAAAAAAUGAUGAUCUCGAAAGUUGUUUCCGACUUCAAUCUCAAAAAGAAAACCAAGCAAAUCUUGUGUAGUCGUCAACAAUCACAAGAAUGUACGUCUUGUGAUGCAAGUUUUCAAUGUGAGAUGAACCACACAGAUUGAUAUAAAGAAGCUCAAGUGGUUCAGAAAUAGAUUUUUUGAUCAGAAUAGGAUGACCUUUCUAUGAUUUCUUCCCACACUCACAAUUGGUGCACAAAUGAUCAUUUUCAAACUUGUGGAGUGGCAAACCUUGGACCAUUUCACUAGAAACCAGAUCAUUCAUAUAUAAGAAAUUCAAGUGAGCAAGCCUCCUAUGCCAAAGACAACUGGCAUCAAGAACAACUUUCGAAAGAAGACACAUUUGAGGCUUCUCGACAAUCAUAUUGAUAUCCAGAGGAUACAUGAUUUUGUUUCGAUUUGAUUUGUUGAGACAUUCUUUUUGAUAUUUUGUCAUGAUGUAGCUAUGCUACUUAGAAAACUUAAGCCUCCAAUUUGAACUAAUGAGUUGGGCUAUACCAAUCAAAUUGUGUUUAAGAUCAGUCACAUAAGCCAUAUUGGAGACAAAGAAGUUGUCAUUGGUAAGGAUGGCAUAGCCUCUAAUAUGAGAAUUUGCAUUGUUUCUUAAGAAUAGUGUUCUGAGUAUCUUUUCCUUUAUUCACUGCUCUCAUAGACAUAUUGGAUAUUGGAAACUGUUUUGUUUUAAAAAUUGUACCAAAUGAGGUAGCAGUAAACACUUGAGAAGAUACUUUUGGAGGAGAGUUGCUUUUCUUUGGUCAGGUCUGAAUAAUAACAUAUUUUAUACAAAUUUUGAUUGUACUGUCGUGAGUAUUCGAGCUAAGAGGAAUAGAAUGUCUCUUAAGAAUUUUAACAUGCAUGAAAGUAUUAUGAUUCCUAGUAGCUGGACUUACAACUGUCUGAGACACUUUCUUAUCGGAUUUCUCAUGGAACCUAGAGUAAUGUCUACACCCAUUUUAUUUUUCAAGGGCUUUCCUAGCCUCUAUCUUUGGAUGAACAAUGUCAUUCUUUUUCAACCAAGUCUUCUUCUUGGAGUCAGAUGUUAGAUUAGAAGAUUGUUCAACAGAUGGAUUGUUAAAACAAGGCUUAAUUGGAACUAAGUUAGUAUUACAAACAACUUUUGAGUUUGAAAUACAAGAGUUAGAUGAAGAGUCGUCAUCUCACUUAAAUUAUUCAUCAACAUCACUUUUAAAGGACAACCAAAAUGAGUUAGCAGUAUCGUUAGGUUUGUCUGAGUCAUAUCCGCUUGUCUCGGGAAUAAUUUCAACAAUGGAACAAUUAUUUGGAGAAUUAGAGUUAGGAAAAUAAACUCAACUACCCUCUGUUCCAUGUGGAAUUUCCAAGGACUGAUUCAGGUCCAGGAAUAUCAAAGGCAGAUGUUACAUAGAAUUAGGACAUAUAAUAGUGAUUGGUUUGAACAUGGGAAUUGAUGAUGGAUAUCCUUCCAAAGUCUCUUGAAGGGACGAUAACGUUGAGACAUGCGUAUCCGAAUAAGUGUGAUUCGAAAUGUCUCCCAUAAAAGUCAUAUUUUGAAGUUCCUUCAAAGGACAAACAACAUGUUUCAUAAACUCGCUUCCGAAAGCAGGUGCUUUGGGCCACAGAUAUAAAAAAUUAUGAGUUAUUCUUUCAGUUGAUUCAAGAAUAUCCAUGGAAUUAAUCAGACUAUCAAUCUUAGCAUUAAGACCCAUGUUAUCAUUAACCAAAAGAUUUCUUUCACUGACUAAAAUGGAACAUUUUUCAUUUAGGAUAACACAUUCAUCCCUAGAUAUUACAAGUUCAUGUUCUAAGGACUAUAUCUUAAGCUUGCAGUCUUUAAAAUGUAAUCUAAGUUUGGUUAAUUCACUGUCCAGCUUCUCACUCACAUCUAUGGCAGACUCAUAGGCUUUAAGAAUCAUUGUCAUAUCAUAUUCGAUUUGAGUUAGAUAAAGUUUAUAAACAGAUAAAUCAAAAUUAUUUUCAGUAAUCAUAGAUUUUACCUGUUAGAUGAUGCUUCUACCUGGUGGGUCAUUUGUUUCCAUGUAGCAAUAGUUUGGCUCAACAUCCUCAUCUUCAUCUUCAAAACCAUAAGAAUAGUACCCUUCAUCACAUUCAAUGGUUUGUACAGAUAUAAGACACAAGUUUCUCCCAAAGUUUCCUUCACCCUCAUCACUAGAUGACCGAUACCCAUCUACAUUCCGAGAAAAUGUAGUGAUAAUUCCUUUUCACUUUCUGCUAGCUCUUGUGCACGACGAGCCUAGUAUGUAGAGUCUUUCAUCUUUGGUUUCUGAGGAGCAUAACUCAAGCAGUCUUAGCAUAAUGGUGACCGAGAACACACUUGUGAGACAUAAUUUUGGGUUUGGCUGAAGUCUGAGUUUAUUGAGGUUCCGAGGAACGAUUCAAAAUAUUAGGUUGAUAAGCUGGUGGGUUUUCAGUAGGUUUGGGGUAAGGUUGAGGAUUGUUUUUUGAGGAGCUUGAAGUCUUUUCGGUUGAGGUUUUUGAUUGGGAUUCCAUGGUCGCUUAUAGUUCAUCGAUAAAAGAGUGAUCUCUUGUUGGAAAUGAAGUUCAGAAUCGACAACUUCUGGAUCAAAAUUUUCUUCAUAUGGGUAGUUCAGAACAAGUGGAACAUGUUGACUAGGUUGAACAGGGGGAAAGGGUGGGGCAACUCUAAAUGGAUCCGAUACCACUGGGUUCAAAAGAAGUGGAUUGGCAGAACUACAGGAGCAAGAGGACCUCCAAUGAGUUCUCUUAGGGUUUGAGCAACAUUGGACUCGUGUCCUUGCAGUUCGUAAAGCACCAUGUGCAGUUAUAUUGUUCACCACAAUUCUGUAUUGAUUUGAUGCAGAGGCAGCCGAUUCACUAGAAGUGGUAGUGAAUGUGUCAAAGUCUUUCACCACAUACGUCAAACGCUUGUCCCUCAUGUUUUCUGAGCCUUCAAAAUAAUCUUGAAGAGUUUCCCAUAUCUCUUUUGCAUAUUUUCACAAAUUAAUAUGUUCAAAUACAGAUGGUAGAACACCAAACAACAUUUUGAAAAAUGCAAUCCGGUAUGCAUGGAGCUUCUCAACGUCGUUGGUAGUUAGAGGUGCUGGUCGGAGCUUAUCUUGGCCCAUAGAGUAGCAGCAACAUCUCUAACUAUAUCCCUAGCCAGAACAUGAGGACCUUCUUCAUAGACCUCUAUAUUUCUUCACCUUUUUCCUUUCAAACCAAAAAUCUCUUCAUCCUAACUUUCCAGUUAUCAUACUCUUCGAAAACUAGAAAUGUUGCAUGCGAUAGGCAACCCGUGCUAUUUGCAAUUUGCAUUGAGUACAUUUGUUGUGAUUGAUAAGAAGCAACCAUUGAAGUUUAGAUAUUAGAGCUGAAGUGGUACAUAGAAGAACUUCUAUCCUGAACAUAGAAAUGAUUGAGAUACCAAGGUAAUCUUCAACCAACUAUAAUAUGUUCUUAUGGAUUCAAAUGACAACUACUUUGGCUUUGAUACCAAUUAUGAGUACUCGGAUUUGCGCAUACAAGGUUUGAAAACUCAAACCUUGAAUUAAAUAACAUUAAUGGUUGCUAAUAAUAAAUGAUCCGGUCAAGUCUGGAUAAACUAGUCAAGCCUUGAAGAAUGUAACUCAGUAAAGUGCUCAAAAUAAACUAAAGUCUGUAAAGUAUGAACAACGAACAAUAUUAAGAACAAGAAGAAUGUUAGAGAGAAAAGAGUAAAUUACUGAAAUUGUCCCUGUGGUUUGGUCAAAAUUGCACGUUUAGUCCCCAACUUUUUUUUGCACUCGGAUCGUCCCUGUGGUUUGAUUUUGUUGCGUUUUUUGUCCCUAUGGUUUGGUAAAAGUUGCGUGUUUGGUCCCUAACUUUAUGUAUGUAAGGGAAGAAAAAUGCAACAAAAUCAAACCACCGAGACGAAAAACGCAACAAAAUCAAACCACAGGGACGAUCCGAGUGCAAAAAAAAAGUUAGGGACCAAACGUGCAAUUUUAACCAAACCACAGGGACGGUUUCAGUAAUUUACUCGAGAGAAAAUGAUUGACUAAAUAAUUCACUUUAUUUGAUAGAAGUGAAGUGCUUGAGUUGCUUCUGUUUACAAAGGUUGACACUCCUUUUAUAUCCAUGGAGUUACAAAAGAUAAAUAUAGAUAAAGUAUGCAUGCACUGAAGAUCAAUAGCCUGACACAGUUGUUGCUAUUGAGCUUGUCAAUUAUACAACACUAGAAAACAACUGGUAAACAAGAAAAUGUAAUUUUACUCUCUGACUCAUAACAUUGUACUAAUCUUUGAAACUACAUAAUCUCGGAAAAACUUGUUCGUCUCGGAAAAUUCUUCAUCUCGGAAUGCUGACAAUCUCGGAAGUAGACAUGGGCUCGGAAUGCUGACAAUCGAUUGGGAGAUUCGAGGAGUGUAGGCCAUUAGUACAAUAAGUUAAUGUAAGGCAUGUAAUGUUUAUGCUUAUGCUUUGUAUCGGUUGUGACAUCCCAAGUAUUUAUAAUCAAUGAAAAACAUUUUUUUCGAAAAUACUUUUCACGGGAAAAAUUACGCAUUUAUAAAGAUCACUCUGAUUUAAAAUAAGCACAAAUAAAAAUGUAUUUUCGGGUUGUGAAGAUUAGGGAUCUCACAGAACCCUAAUCGGAUUGUCCUUAAUUCAUAAUCUCGUACAAAUGACAUCCCAAAUUGAACUCUGCGUAGACCCAUGGUCACACCAGAAAGGUCGAACAACAUCGUUGCUACAUCUAAACUUUCACUAACCAAAGACAACCACCAAAUCUAAGCUUGCUAGAAAAAAGAUCAUACAACCAAACAAUCAAAGUACACACAGCUACAAACCUAGAUAUACAACUGACAAUUUUUUUAUAAAGGGACAACGCACCAUCUGUACCUUUAACUAUUACUGCUCGAAAAACCUCAAAUGAUCCCGUGAUUCAAACAAGGAAUAGAAAGACCAAUCAAUCAAAAAUUAACCGACACUAAACCUAAUGAUCUUAUAUAUUACUGAAAGAUUCCUAUGUAGAAAUACACAUAUCAGACUCUAAAUAUGAUCAACUAAUCAACCAAUACCUAUCUUAACCAAAUAUAACGACCCACAUUGCGAGUUAACCAUGUUCUCUAUAUUCAGAACCUGAGUGGCUAAACCGCACCCCAAUCAAGAUCCAUGGCGCUUCCAAAAGGAACUACUGACGAUAUCAAGUUCCUUUCCCAACAACUUCCUCAUGAGGGGAUAAUACAUGCGCCCACGAAGACAUAUUAAUGACGAAAACUUGCUCUAAACUCAUGAUCAGACCAAUCCUUGAUUCGUCCUUGACCAUAAAGGAUUCUAAAGAAUCCUUGAAAAAAAAUUACGAGGAAAACUUUUAACGACAAGAAUUUCAAUAGUAACUUAUAUUCCUUCACUCAUGCAACAAAAGUGAGAGGUUGUGGUUCAUUCAUCCGAAUGAAAUUUUUGAUUGGGAGAUUCGGUUCUUAAGGUGCCUCAUCAAUCAAAUGUUAUCAUAGUUAACUUUGCUAUGAAUGAGACUCAAAGUUUCCUCGAGUUUGGUUGAUUAUUAUCCAAAGGUUUAUCGCAUUCCCUGUUUUGCACUUUGAGAUCCAAGGUUGGUAGGCAUCUGGUUGAGCCAGUCUAUAGAUUCGUUGUUACAGACAUCAGUCGGUAAUAAUUCGAAGCCUACAUGGGGGAGAAAUGAGUAUUAUGCUCGGAGGGUCAACAGACUGUUCGAUUUUGUGGUUUCAGUUUAAUGAGUCGGAGGAAUCUACAAAUCAAGUAUGUGAGUUCUUCUUUGGUUUGGUGGCCGAAGUGGAUAUCAUGCCGCGUGUUGAGCCUUCGACCCAGUUUUAAGAAGACCAGGUGUCUCUGUUGUAGAUCGAGAAAAUGCUCGCACUUUUAAUUUUGAUUACUAAGAUUGUAUUGUACCGAGUGUUACUAUUUUUGUGUUCAUUUAGACCACAUAAACAUGACUAUACUAGUUUAUGUUUAAAUAUGGGAUCAAACUUUGUACAUCUAUGCCCUCUAUCUUACACAUCACUUUAAGUAUUUAUCACGGUGGGGGAGACCACAAUAGAAUUAUGUUACAUAUAAAGCAAUAAGUUAUUUUAGAAAAAAAUAAUGGUAAAUAUUAAUCAAUUAAACAGAAAACAACCUAAAUAAUUUUUCUAUGAAUAUAAAAUGUUCAACCCUAAUGUAAUACUAGAAAAGAAAACGAAACUUACUUACAGUUAAGAUCACAGGAGGAGUUUAACCCUAAUGUAAUACUAGAAAAGAAAACGAAACCAUAAUGUUGAUGAUGAAUUUGCUUCCAAUGGUGAUUCGAUCUUCAAAGAAUUAUUAUAUGUUAUUGGAAUAAGUCUUUGAUCUUGAUGCAAGAUGGAUUGGAAGUGUUUAGGGAAGGAUUUGGGACCCAUUGAAGUUGUUAAAACUAAGGAAAAGCAUCAUGGGAUUGAUGAAAAACAAUAACACAAACUUCCCUUCUUAUAAAGCGUUUUAAAUAUGAUAAGUAUGGUCUCAUGGUAGUGGCGUCUUUGGAGACGUCCCAUGAUGUUAGGUAAGACAUUAGAUGUUGUGUUUUGCGUGCUCUAUGAUGUUUUUGAUUUUACUCAAAAAAUAUGCUACAAGGACUCUGGUCAUUCGGCGUGGUGUCCUAAGACCCUAUCUAGGUUUUUUGUACCUAAUUCUUGUUAUAUCAAAUGCUUGUUCUCACCAAAAAUGCCCAAAGAGAAUAUAUGUCCUAACAAAUAUACUACAAAGAUGCCUAAGAUGUUGAUAGGUUCAUGACAUUUUCCUCAACUUCUCAUGUUGUAUUUGACCAUGACCAAAUAUGACUAAGACACCCCUAAGAUGUUGGCGUGUUUGACACGGAGCUUUUGGAAGCGUUUGGGAGCUUCUAGCUUUUAGCUUUUUACAAAACGCUUUAGUUUAAACAAAAAGCUUCGUUUGGUAGUACGAGCAUUUAGAUUUUAGUUUAAACAAAACGCUCCAAAUCUAAAAGCUACUUCAUGUAGCGUUUAACAAAACGUUAUUGAGCUUUUGAAAUCAAUUUCCAUAAUUACCCUUAAAAUAUAUAUAUUUAUUUAUUUAUUUUUAAUCUAUUGUCCUUUUAUGUAAUUUUAUAUAUUUUAAAAGCUUCCAGCUAGUUUUGCCAAACAUUCAUAUAACAAACAAAAGUUACAGUUUCCCGCUACCAGCUACCCGCUUCCAGCUAACAACUAUUUUUGCCAAACACGCCCGUUGUUUAGGACUUCGAGCUAUAACUCAACGUCUAUUCAUAUUUUUGAUGUGUGGUUUUCACCCAAUUCAUCCAUAUCUUGCAUUUUACAUGUAUAUUCAAUAAUUCCAUAAAAUUAGGGUGUCACACCCCAUUUUUAAAAUACGAUUUACAAUUUUCUUAUAUAUAACAUAAGGAUCAAAAUUUAGAGGGAAUAUUUACAAAAGUAGAGUGUAACAAAAAUGGGAAAUAAUUUGUAGCAACCACGUACACAUGUUGUAGUACAUUAUACAUAUAACAAAAUUCGAGUACAAGUGGUACAUGUAAAAGUAAAAUUAGGGACAAUACAUCCUCCUGACGUCUUAUUCUCACGAUCAUACUUUCCAUGUAUGACAUCCCUACGAUUACAUGAACACAAUAAGGAAAUCUGAAAAAAAAAAAUCAUAACCAACGAUAUGUGUCCUCUUUGUAAAACAUCGCUCUUAAUAAUAGGUUAUAUAUUGCUAAUAAGUAUGUCUGUUUAAUAAUCUUCCACAACAUAACCUUCGGAUCAUAUUGAGUUUCCUAGUUUAAACAUCGGGUCAAAUUGAGUAAUGAGAUCUCAUGUUUAUCUAGCAUAACAUGUGGUCAUAUUAUUUACCAUAGGCACCAAUACUGUAACGCCCACAUAUUCGAGCUAGUAGAGAUAAUACACAUUAAAAAUGAUUUUUUGAUAGAAGAUUGUUUAGGACAAAUAACUUUAACAAAAGUUAUAGUAUAUGUGACAAUGAUUAUGUACAUAUAAAGAACAUUGAAAUCUGACAUUGAUGAAGAAAUUAUGUGUUUUUUGAAGUUUCACGAUUAAACCGGAACGAUUCUGAGUAUCGUAAAAAGCGAGCUUUUGAUAAAUUACUUUUUUGCCUAUGAGUCUAAACAGAAGUCGUAGUAGUCAUUAUACCGAGAGCGUAUAUAUAAAGAACGUCCAAAUCUAACUAUGUAAGAGGAAGUUAUGAUUUUUCUAAGAUUCAACGUAGCAGUAUAUAACUCCAAAAUUGAAUUUUAGAUCGGUCGAUUUUUAAUCGAAACGAUCCAAACGAGAAUUGAAGAUCUCAUUAAGGAGUUCAACGAUAUAAAUAUAGUCGAGAACGGACGUCAGAUAAGAGAGUUAUGAAUUUUUUAAUGGACGUUAACAGUUUAAGCAUGUUAAAAAUAUAACUUUAAAAAUAAUGUCAAAAUGAGUUGACGUUAUAGAUCUCGUCGAUAGCUACACGUGGAUAUAAAAAACGAAAGUCGUAGAUCUCGUCGAUAGUUAUGCGUGGAUAUAAAAAAACGUCAAAAACGGAGCUCUUAUGCGAAAGUCGUGAAUUUUUGAAGAUUUAAAAUCAACAUACGUAUUGCUUGCUGCCAACACCACUACGCUAGGAGUAACCUAAAAUUAUGUUAGGUGUCCUCCUUCCUGGCGCCUAUAAAUAAGUUGGGAAAAUCACUCAUUUUCUCACAUCUUGCAAAUCCAUUCACUCCAAGACUUCUUUCUUCUUGUGUCCAAGUCCUUCUAGUCCUUAGGGGUGUUUAGCAAGGCUCUAGGCAUCAAAGAGCCCCACAAAUAGAAGCUCUUGAGUCAGAAUUCUGCCAGUAUAAUUGCCGACUUUUCACUAGAAAUUUCUAUAAGUUAAGAUACACUUAUAUUACUUUUAGUGUAACUUAUAUUUAUAUUUAUAGUUAUUGUUAUGAAUUUAUAAUUAUUAUUUUUCAGUGAUUUCAAGUUAUAAUACUGAUUGAUCUACUUACGGGAGAGGUGUCUAGAAUGGUCAUGUUGGCUUGGUUGUUGGAUUUCAGAAAGACUAUAUGUAGAAAGGGUCCUGCCUCCUAACUGUCCUGCCUGGCUACUCCUUACUUAACUGAUAUUGAUUUAGAUAUUGAGAUUAGUGAGGAAUCUAAACUAUAAUUAUUCGCUAUAAUAAAAACACGAUUUUGCUAGGGAAUGAUGCUAUGGAAUGUUUUUUCGUUGUUAUUCUACAAUAGAUCAUGCUAUGGAAUGUCAUUCCAUAGCAAAGUUGCUACCACAUUGUGUAUGGAAUUUAUUUUCGGUACCGAGCAUGAGACUUCCUAGGGAAAAUGUCACUGAAUCCAAAUCCGUUGGUAUUAUGCUACCGAUAUUUAUAUGGCAAAAACAUUCAUGGCAAUUUCCAACAAAAUUUUUUACAAAAAAACUUUUUGUUGUACUGCUGCUAUGGAAUUAACUAUCGUGCAUGGUUAAUAUGCAAUAAAAUUUUUCAAUGGAAAACAAUUUCAUAGUUACUUUCCUAUGUAAGUAGCAUUCUUAGGUAUUUGCUAGUGAGUUAUGCUAUGAAAUUUGAUUUCCUUUUCUUGUUUUGCUAUGGAAAAAAAACCUAGCUAAUUUGUGACGACAUUUUCAUGAUAUUAAAUUCCAUAGCAACUAUGAUAACGAGUAUUCCUAGAUAUUUAGCUAUGGAAAUUUGCAACGGCAAUAAAACUCGUUGAAUUUUUAGUAUUGAGGAAUUGUAUGUUGCAACUUUUGUUACCAAUUUGCUAGGAAUUAUUCUUUUGUAAAGUGUUUUACAUUAUAGGGCCAUAUUAUGGAAUUUAGUUGCAUAAAUAAAGCAUGCACUCCAACUCCCAUAUUCGAAAACCCACAAUCGUAAGAAGAUAAAUUAGGACAAAUCAAUGUCGUCGUCUUCAAGCAGUAACGUGAGACUGUGCAGACGUGGACAUCCGGUUGGAAUGUGGACGACAUGGACACUAAAGAAUCCUGGACGGAGGUUCCUUACCUGUAGAAACUACAAUGAUGAAUACAUAAAUGUGGGCUUUUUCGUUGGAUUGACCCACAACUACCGAACAAGUGGUAUAGAGAGAAGAUAUAUGAAUUGAAAGCUCAAGCCAGUGGUGAAGAUGUCAAUUUAGAUCCCCCCUAACACUCUUGUAAAUUUUUAUAUCAAUGAAACCCCUACUCAAGUUGUUAUUCAAGAUACUAAUGAGCAUGGUAACAACCCUCGAGUUGAAGGUAGUCAAGUUGAAAUUAUCAAGUUCAAAUAUGGUUUGAAUGAUAUGUUUUCGAAUUGGUAAUAUAUUUUGUUUGUUUUAUUGCAUUUUAUAUGUCUUUAAUACCACAUGAAAGAAUAAACAUUUGUUAUUAUGUUUAUGUUAUAUUGAAUCAUUUUAUACCAUUUCAAUGUAAAGAAACUGGUUUAUAACAAAAACAAUAACUUUGGAUAUUUAAUGAAAAUAUUGUACAUACAAAUAUAUCAAAAAGAGAUGUCUCUUUUAGUAAAAGCUUUCAAUGUACCAAGGAAUGAUAAAAUGCUCUGAAUAACAUUUACAUGAAUGAUAAAAUUUCAUGUAAAUGUUAUUCAGAGCAACUUUACAACAAAUGAUUAUUAUAAUUAAAAGUGGAGUAUAUAUUAAUUACUCGAUGCAAUGUUUUAAAUAUUCAAAUUUAAGAUUCAAAUUAAAUAAUAUUUCAAAUUAAUUAUCAAAUUUAAAUAUUUAGAUGUAUCUAGUUAAAACAAUAUUUUCAAAUUGAUCUCUAUCCCUAGAUUUGUGAAAUUAGUAGAUGGCUCGAAAAUCUUGAAAACCUGAUAGGCACGUCGCGCCAGGUAGAGGGGCACAUUGCACCUGUGAUUGAUAGGGUUCUUUCAAAUUUCAUUUUUCAUAAAGUUUUGUACCAUAAUUAAAAUAAUUAGGCUCUGAUAUCACUGUUGGGGAUUCAUAGCAUCAAGUACAAAACACAUAGGUAACGGAAAAAUCAAAACUUGAUAUACCUAAGUGCACAUGCAACCUAGGAUCUAUGUUUUACUAUAAUAGCAUCCUACUUUAAAAAACAACAUAAGUGAAGAAUUUCUAACCUCUUGUUGACUUCCUUGUGAUCUCUUAUCUAAAAAUUAGGACAUUACAAGUUUUUAUCAGAGCCCUGGUGUGAGGGGUUUGGAUGAACACUCAUGUGAUUCCAAACUCAAACUAAGGAUCUGAAUUUUUAUAAACCUUUUUUUUAAAAGGAAUUAACUUGAAAGAAGAAAAGAAGAUGUGAUGUUCGCAGUCAUUCGAAGCUCAAGUAAAUGAUUCCUAGAAUAUCCAUACAUGUUUGAUAUGUUAUUGAUGAUAUAGUAUGAAUUACAUAAUAGAAGUAGGAUAAGGAUAUGCUUUGGUUUACAUGCUAGAAUGCCUGCUUAGGAGAGACGCCUUUUAUGCCUGAUAUGUGAAUUGUUAGAAAUGCAUGAUAGUGUGUAGGUUAAGGAUCUUCGGGAAUUUUGUGUUAAAUCUUUCCUAAUAUUUAUGAUGCCUUGUUGCUUGUGCGAUUUGCUUCGCGGAUGCUGCUUGCUUUGGGUUAUGUGAAACCUAUACUGAUGUUAAUUAACCACUAAGUGAAUACGUUAGGUUGCAUGCCACAAAGAUUAAAUAAUUUUAGAAUGCUUGAUUUGGCCCUAUUUUACAACUCUUGUUUGAGUACAACCGUUGUAUUGCAAGAUCUUUCAGACGAAGGACUGUUUAAUCUCUGUUUCAUGUACUUGUGUUUGUAAAAUAGUUAAUUGGAAUUGGUAGAAGUUUCUUCCGUAGCAGAUAGUAGGGUGGGGAGGGAAUUCCUAGUGACCUGAAAAAAGUGUUAAGGUAUGCUAGUACAUGCAUAUGUGUGAGAAGAAUCCUAGAGGGAGAGAAUAGGAAGAUUGGUAGUAUGUGCUUGUGAGAUCAUGUGUAUCUACGAUUAUUAGCGAUCAGGUGUAGUGACUUGGGAACCUUGAGACAAUUCUUGGGACAAGUACGUAUAGGUGUGGAAUGUAUUGAGGGCCCAAUACUACCGGAAGCACAUGAUUUGUAUGGAGAUCAGGAAGAGUUGAAAGGUUACCGAGGAGCAGGUUUCCAGUAGACAGUGUGGCAUAUCACAAGGGUUAAUUGUAUCUUGUUUCCCGUUCUAUCUGUAUUUCGGUAUUGAUUUCUCGGGAUAAGGAUGAGUUUGGCAGUUGUUCGAGCCUAAGUGGCCAUGGUAGAUUUUUUCUAAAUGGUGCAGACUUGUGUGAGUUAGAUGAUUCUAAGGUCUAAAAGGCCUUGUUCAAAAUAGUUCCAGUUUGAGUCGCAGGACUUAAGAAGGAAGUGAUUGUGUUGAUCGCCUCGAGGAUUGCAACUCGAGUCUGGGUGGUCGGCCAAUGGCUUAGGAUUUCGUUUUCUACAACGAGGUUAUGCUCUUCCAUCCUCCCGUGUUCUAGGUAAAAGAGAUCUGAUGUUUGUUAGUCGACAAAUUGAACAAAGGCAUGUUUUUCUUCAUAUCGGUUUCUGCUGCAAGGGGGUAAAGUCUAGUUUGUAGUAAAUCAUUUCUGUCUUUCAUUAUAAGGAUGUUCAAGAUUGAUUAUUCUUCGGUUUGGUGGACGAAGUGGAGAUCAUAUCACGAGUUGAGCCUUCGACCCAGUUUUAAGAAGAUCGGGUGUCUCUUUUGUAGAUCGAGAAAAUGAUUCCAAAGGCUAUACUAGAAGUUCGGAGGAAGGAGAGGGGGCUAGUACGCGGUCAGGUACCACAAGAGAUUAUUAGCUUUUAGGCUAUAUAUAGUUUUACACAUUUAAAAACUAAUUACUAUAACCUACAUGUGCCAACUUACACAUACAAGUACACCUUAAACGAAGAUUAAUUAUUCUCUCUAUGGAUAAUCAUGUACAUUCAUCUACUACUAAAUUCAUCUUUUUCAUAACCUAUUUUGUUUUAUUUAUGAAGUGUUGGUCGAAUUUUUUUGGAAACAUAUUCAUUCACAUUUUAAAUUACUUAGGCUAUAUAAUCAUUCGAUACUAAUUAAAAUUUUAUCUCAUAUAGAUUUUUAAAAUUACAAAAGAUGGUCCAUUUACAUAACACUUGUUUAUAACAAACAUAUGAUGCAUUGUCACGGUGGCAAUGUUCAUAAGGCUAUCCGGAGUGGGUUCAUACUCACGCAUGAGUUUCCUAUGUGGCACACAUGUGUCACAUAAACCCACCAGUGAACACCUCCCCAAAGAUCGGUGGUUUGGCUGUGAAGUGAGUUCUAGUGUAUGUGAAGACGGAAGAACACAUGCAUUCUCAUCGGUUCUUAAAUUUUCCACUCACAUUUCCUCUCAUUCUCUCUCCUUAUUUUUCCUCUUCACUACCAACCCACCAAUGAACACCAUUUUCACACCCUGGUUGUUUGGCUGUGAAAUGAUAAAAUACCUAUGUUGCGCUGAGAUGGCUGGUGGUUUGACUGUGACCACUCCCCACAGCCUAGUGGCAAAUGAAGACUAAGAGGAUGUUGUAAAACAUUAUGAAAAUAUAUGAUACCAAUCUGAUCAAAACCAAAAAAAAAUUAAAAUAAUGAAUAAUAAGUAAUAUAUAUAAAUACACCAAAAACUGUAAAAUACCAUAGGAAUACAAGUACUUCGGCUACAAAAGUGUAAUUUUCAAGAAUUAAACGAAUACAAAAACAAUAACAGGUUUAUCAAAUUGUUGCCAUCUUCUUCACAUAGUAUAAAUUGAUCAUGUCAUCUCGAUCAGCAAUCCUUUGGUGGCUCCGCCGGGGUUGCCACCUCUUCCGCCGCCUUUACCUCAGUCUCCACCGCCACCUCCUCUUUCUUCUCUUCCUCCACGGCCACGUCUUUGUCUUUACUGCUCGUUGUUUCCUUCUCUUCUACCACAAUAAACGUCGACACCUUCUCGAAUACAAAGAAAAUAGGUCCCUGAACCAACGUUGGUCCGAACUUGGAACACGCUUCAUGAGCUGGUUUCGACCCCGGAAAUUCUGUGCAUGUAAAGUCAUGUUUAAUCAAACAAACUCAAAUGAUUUAAUUCAACUUGAGUGACAUUUACGUACCUAUCUUGGAUAGUUCUUCAAGAAACUUGGUAACCCCGGUGGAGUUCUUUUUUAGAGAAGCAUCUUUAGGUUCCUUCACCAAAGCCUGUAUUCACAUAACAAAUACUUAUAUACUACAUAUUUCUAAAACAACUCCAACUCACAUCUUGAAAAGUAAACACGAAUUAAUAAAAGUUCAAGCAGGUGGUGGAAGGGAGUCAUCAGGAACCUUGAUUUCAGUUGCAGAAGCUUCAUAGAUCUCUAUUACUUUAGUUUGGAGCUCAGUUUUCUUCUCUUCAAACUCUUUGCUGUACUCCUCCUGUGUGGACAUACAUAUGAAUAUCGUAAGUAAAAGAAUUCAAGAAACCAGAAAAUAAAUAAAGAAAGAAACGAAAACCAUUAAUCAGUUCUAUAUAUAUAUAUAUAUAUAUAUAAUCGAAAUAUGUUAAGAGACCUUAGCAUCAUCAAAGGACUUGCAAGCUUCGAUAGCAGCUGUCUUCUUGGUGGUGUUCUUCUCGAAGAUCUUCUUAAACUUCGGAACGACUGUCGAUUUCCAGUAGCCCAUCUUUCAAGUUUCAGUACAAACAAUCUCAAACUCAACCUACAGAGUUUUAAUUCAUGUAUGGUUGUAAACAAACAUCCAUUAAUAACAUUCUGGUUAACCAGAAAAAGAAAGAAAAAGUGUACCUUAAUUAGAAAGAAACCCUGCAAGUGUGUUUUGUUCUAAUUGUAGAUGAACAAGAAAAAGCGGAGUGACUAGUGUGUUAUAAGGGCUAUCUCCACAACAUUAUGCACUUAUUUCUUUUUCCUUUCCUACCCCAACAUUCCCCUAUUAUUACAACUAUAACCAACUCACCAAAUUAAUAAUAGAGUCUAUUGAAUCAAUCAUGAGUUUCAAAAAAAGAGUUAUUAUAUUUGAAUAUUGUGGGAAAGUAUGAAGAUGGUGAUUGGGAAGCCAGCACACUUGCAACCGGAGAUAUUUGUUUGUGAUUAUCUGAGUGAAGAGAGAAUAGAAGAGUUAGGUUGGCAUUGAAUGAUUGGAGGGCUGGGGCUUUCACACAGCUGGCAACCACCGGAGGGACCCAACAGUGACCUGUGAAACCAGCAUUUUCUGGAACAGUGAAGGAGAAAGCUUGUCUGCCGAACGUGGGUUAGCUGGGGUGGGGUUUAGGGUUUACUACCGCCACCCCCGCCGUCAAUUUCCUCAUCCGAUCAUGUAACCAAAAAGUUAUAUAUAGUAAUAUAAUAAGAAACAAAAUGGAAAUGGCUAAAACUUGCAUAGCUGUGUACUUGUUGAGUACGAAUGUAACACAUUACGUAUAAUAUAUAACAUCGUUUUGAACGUUUGAUGGGACGUUAGUUUACUGUUGUGGUGGGGUAAUUGGAUUCAAACAAAAUAUAUGUUCGGAAACAUUCCAAGAAAACCUAAAUUAUUAUUUUUCAAUGCGUAAAAAACCGCUAUCAUAUUUUGCCGUCAAUUAAAACAACAAAAAUUACGACGGUUGGUUCUUGUUGUUAAUUUUCUAAAACAAACAAACCUAGUAAAAACAAUUAUUAAAACUUUUGUGUUUUGUUAAUGUGGUUUCAUUAUUUAUAGGUACUUUUCCCAUGAAAAAUACAUUUUCUUAUUUUAUUUUAUUUUAGUAUUAUAUAUAUAUAUAUAUAUAUAUAUAUAUAUAUAUAUGUGUGUGUGUGUGUGUGUGUGUGUGUGUGUGUGUGUCUUAGNNNNNNNNNNNNNNNNNNNNNNNNNNNNNNNNNNNNNNNNNNNNNNNNNNNNNNNNNNNNNNNNNNNNNNNNNNNNNNNNNNNNNNNNNNNNNNNNNNNNNNNNNNNNNNNNNNNNNNNNNNNNNNNNNNNNNNNNNNNNNNNNNNNNNNNNNNNNNNNNNNNNNNNNNNNNNNNNNNNNNNNNNNNNNNNNNNNNNNNNNNNNNNNNNNNNNNNNNNNNNNNNNNNNNNNNNNNNNNNNNNNNNNNNNNNNNNNNNNNNNNNNNNNNNNNNNNNNNNNNNNNNNNNNNNNNNNNNNNNNNNNNNNNNNNNNNNNNNNNNNNNNNNNNNNNNNNNNNNNNNNNNNNNNNNNNNNNNNNNNNNNNNNNNNNNNNNNNNNNNNNNNNNNNNNNNNNNNNNNNNNNNNNNNNNNNNNNNNNNNNNNNNNNNNNNNNNNNNNNNNNNNNNNNNNNNNNNNNNNNNNNNNNNNNNNNNNNNNNNNNNNNNNNNNNNNNNNNNNNAUAUAUAUAUAGAGAGAGAGAGAGAGAGAGAGAGAGAGAGAAAGAAAGAAAGAAAGAGAAAGAGAGAAAGAGAGGUUUAAGAUUUAUUAUGAACUCUAAAUAUCUAAAUAUGGUAUUGAUUAUAUGAUCAAUUUACGUACACUAGAUCUAAAUAAUGAAAAGUUAAAAUGGAGGAUAACAUUAUGGUACAUAAUUUUAAAAAGAUUAAUAAUAUUUUAUUUUUAAACAACCAUAAGGUAAACUAGUCAAAUGGUUUACCAUAAAAUAUAGAAAAUGUAAAUAUUAAGGAGAUGUUAGAUUUUGUUGCGAUUGGAUUAUGCAUGAACCAUUUCCACUAAUUGUAAUUGCAAUUGUUUUAUUUUUAUUUUUUAAAUUACCCAUUCUUAUUAUUUUAUCAUUCUUUUAAUUUGUAGUUAAAAUAAAUUAUUUAAGAAUACGUUGCUUGUUAAAUAUUUUGAAAUCACUUUCUAAUAAGAAAAUUAUGUAAUUGCUAGCUAUGUGUGUUUGCAUUCUUUUAAAAUAUAGGUUAAAAUACUUGGAUACUAGGUAAAUUAUAUCUUGAAAUUCUUAAAAAUAAUAAACAUUCUUAUAAUAUUAUAUGAGAAUGGAAUUAGUUACAUUCUUAAAGAAUAGAGAACAUUUUUAAGGAAUAAAAAAUAUUGUGUUAUUCGACAAAAGAGGAUAUGUCUAAUUCAUUCUGAAAAAAUUCUUAAAAAAUAAAAUACAUUUUGUUCUUCCCCAAGUACAUGUCUAAUCCAUUCCAAAAGAAUUCUUAAAGAAUAAAAACAUUUUGUUCUUCUACAAUUGAGUAUAAGUCUAAUCCAUUCUAAAAGAAUUAUUAAAGAAUUCUCAAAAACCUUAAGAUUCUCUUAAUCAACUACAUUAAGAACACAUAUGAUUUUAUGGUGGAACCAUUAAAUCUAGAACACGAAAGAAGCUCAAAUUUUGUGAUUUGUUGCAAUGACUCAUCUUGGAAGGCCUUUUCAUUUAGAUUAGUGUGCCCAAGGGCUAAUAUAGCAUACUACAUGACAUGAAUUCCUUCAAAUAUGAUUGAUUACAGAUCCAUUUAUAAAUCUCCACUUCACUGUAGAGAAUGUUUUAUCUGCAUGCCAAAAUUCUUCAAGUUGGGAUAAUAGGCAACUCAACACAUUAACUGUGUAUCAUCUCCAACCUAUAGAAUGAAUCAUCAAUUCUCAUGAUAACAAAACACCAAUCGUAGAAAGUAAGAAAUAGAACAAAACCAAAAGGCCAUUUAUACAUUUAGCGACUACUCCAUAUAUUUCAUGUUUCACAGCCUAUAGAACAUGCAUAAAAUGUCAAAACCCGAAAUCUAAUCUAUAGUUAUGUUAUGUUAUUUAAGAAUAUGUGUUGUGUACAAGCAUUGGUUCUUAGUACCUUACUAUUUGUGACACCUCUCAAGAUGAAUGAAAUUAUAAGAAAUUCAACAUAUUCAAUGUGAAUGUUAUUAGAUUUAUUAAGAAUGUCAAGAGAAAUAUACGAAGUUAAGCGUAUUUCAUUAUUUUGUAGGAAUGUUAUCAAAUUCAUUUAAAUGAAAUAAAAAAUAUACCAUUAAACACUAUAUAACUAAACUAGUAAAAACUAAAUCACAACUCCAUUUUUCAAUAGUCACUUAACUGGUAAACACUAAAUCACAAUUCUAAAAUAAACCAGUAAACUAUAAUCACAACUUCAAAAUACUUUCAUAAACAGAACUUGUAAACUAUAAUCAUGCUUUCACAAUUCCAAAAGAAUCAAAGAAUCGGAACUAAGAAUAACAAUCUGAUAGGGAUUGAAUGGUGUAGAUGGCAAAGGG
rnacentral:lncRNA from 1 species